AUAUAUAAUAUAUAAUUAUAUUAGUUAAAUUACAUAAGAACAUAUAGAUUGAUGAAGGGCAUUGCAUGUAAAACUUUCAAGGUAGAUUUUUUUAUUAAUAAUAGUACAUAGGUAAAACUCUAGUUUUAUUAAUAUAUCGUGGCUCACUAUGAGCUCUUACAUGAUAGUAGAUAGCAGCUUAGUAAAGAGUGAUCUAAAUGGAAAAGAUAAGACCCCUUCUUCCACGCCUUCCCUCCUUCUCCCUUUGCUGUUGCUGCUGAGGUUGAGCAUUUGCAAAGUAAGAUUGUUGUUGGUUCUUAAUUAAUCUCUCAACAUCUUCAACAGAACCAGGGAAUGUAAGCUGCUUCACUUCUUUAUCUAACUGUCUUAUCACAUUGUCUUCAGAACCUUUCAAUUUUCAAUAAUUUCCAAACAUAACAAUAUGAGUUAGUAACGCCAAAACCAAAGUCAUAAAGCAAAUAUUAUAAUUUACAAUUAGGUAUUUGUGCCAAAAGUUUAAUUUGUUGCCACAUUGGCUUCGUCCAAAGAUAUAGUUGGUGAUUUGGCGAUCAAUUUUAUAACUGUGUAUCUACCUUUUAAAUAGCAUGUUUAGAUUAAAUUAAAAUAUAUUUAAUUAUAAACUUUGAAGUUGAAUAAUGUUUAUGGUACCUGCAAGGAAAUUCCUCUGGUUUUCAUCAGCAUUGAUGCCAAAUCCAAGCAAGCGAAGAUUUGAGGAAGCGUUGAUGGAAAUUGGAUGACCUGCUGGAAUUACGAAAAUGUCACCUUCUGAUAAUUUAGCAUUGUACCUUCUCACUUCUUCCUGUUCUUGCUCAUCUUGUUGUCGUUCUUGAUCUCUUAUACCCACCAGUUCAUAAUUUCCUUCUCCUUCAUCAACCACGACUACAAAUAUGGCCUUUGAGUUAUAGUGUGGUAACAACAAACCUCCCUAACAUAAAAAAAUCAAAUCAUUAGUAAUAGUAUUGUUGUCUAAGACACAACACCAGUGAAUAAGUUCAAGGAAUUGUGUGUAUUGUUAUUUGGGGUUGGAUGUAAAUAAUGUACCUCGUUAAUUUCUAUGAAGGUGAGAGAGAUAUCCAAAUCCUGAGCUUGAGGGUUUCUGUCUGGGGUGAUCUCGUAGAAGUUGCCAAACUUGUUUGAAUAAAUGGGUUCAUCGCUUCUCAAGUUGAAGGGGCCAGAUUCAGAUGGUUUGCCUUUUCCUGAUGAUGAUUGAGCAUGUUUUCUCAAUUCUUGGAUCUGUUCCUUUGACACUCUCACUAUCACCCCCUCAUCUUGGUGGCUCUGCUCUUGUCCACGACUUUGCUCCUCAUCUUCCUGCCCGUCCUCAUUUCCUAAAAUAAUCCUUUGUAUCUCUUCAUAACGGGUCUAUAUUUGAAAUCCAAACAAACAAAUAUGUGAUCAUUAGUACAUAUACUCAAUAAAUAAUUGUGCAACCAACGCAGAUCAGAUGUCAUACAUUGAAGGUGGCCUCUAAAGUGUUCCUACUGAAGCCGUUGAAGUAAGACUGUUGGUCUUUAGUACUUGAUGGAUAGAAAUCCUAUAAAUAUACAAAUAUAGAGAGAAAGGAGGAAGAAAUUAAAAUUACAUGGUGUUAAAUAUGCAAUGGGUGCAUAGAAAAUUAGAUGAUAUAAACAUAAAAGAUAAUAUGAUUGGAGAAAGAACAUUACAUAGAAGUUGCCAGGGUUGUUGAUGGGUAUUGCGAGCUUGACUACUCUAAGGUUCUGGUUGUCAUCCGGGUUAAGGAUAUAAGAAGUUGUUCCAGCUGGGAGUCUGAGAGCAUCUCCAUGCUCAAGGUUAUAUGCUUGUCUUUUAUCAGGGUUGACUAUCGUGAUUGUGGCUCUACCUGCAAUUCCAAAAUAAUGAAUGUAACAAAUCAUUCAUUCUCAUUAAUUAAUUGGCAGAAAUGAUUACUACUAGUAGUAAGUAAGGUUUUAAAUUUAGGUUAGCGACCUCAAUUUAAAUCCUUGAUAAUAGUUACCAUUGAGUACAACGAGGAUGUAGUCAGCAUCAGAGUGUUUAGGGAGAAUGAGAGUGUUAGGUUUUGAUUGGAACUCCACAAUGCGGUAGUUUUGGAGAUUCUCAAGUCUAUUGGUUCUCUGGUCAAACCUCUCAAGCACACGGAUUUGGCCAUUCCUAUUUCUGUAAAGAGUUUGGAAUCUUUCAGAGCUGAAGUAAUAAGGGUUCCUCUGUCUGCGUGAGUCUGAGCGAGAACCUUGCUCUUGCUCUUGUUCUCUCUCUUCCCUCUGUUCCCUCCUCUCAUAACCACUUUGCCUACGUGAGCUAGAGCUAGAGCCUUGCUCUUGCUCUCUCUCUUCCCUUCUACUUUGAGGUCGUUGUCUCCUCGGUUGCCACUCUUCUUCCUCCUCUCUCCUUCCAUGUUGAGGUUGUUGUUCUUGCUCCCUCCCUCUACUAGGUUCUCUCCUUUGUUCACGCUCUUCCUCUCGGCUUUCUUCGCUCUCGCUCCUACCACGUGAUGGCUCACGAUUACGCUCCUCCUCUCUCCCAUGCUCUCUUUCUUGCUCCUCCUGAUGGCGAGGGCGUGGUUGUUGUCUUGGGUCACGCUCCUCUUGUUCUCUUUCCUGAGGCCUCUCAUGAUUCUUUAUUGCAUUUUUUUCUCCGUAAGCAAUACCGAUUGACACUGCCAUGAGGAAUACUAUUCCUAGUAGCAACACUAACGUUGGAAACUUCACUCUCAUAUUAGCCAUAUUUUAUUAUAUUAGAUUGCACUCGAUGAUGNNNNNNNNNNNNNNNNNNNNNNNNNNNNNNNNNNNNNNNNNNNNNNNNNNNNNNNNNNNNNNNNNNNNNNNNNNNNNNNNNNNNNNNNNNNNNNNNNNNNUAUAUAAUUAAAAAUAAAUUGUUGCAUAAAUAACGUACAAUACUAGUGUACGAAUAAUGAUAUUUGUUGAGCUGUUAAGGUUAUACCAAUACCUUACAUAUAAGAUUCAGUUAUAUAUGAUUGUCAAUCACGUGGUUACUAGGUGUGAAUUAAAGAUCCGAUUAAACAAGAUUUGGUCAUAUAUGAUCAUUGAUUACUAGAAUUUCUAACUUAACUGUGUGAAAGAACGAUAUUGGAAGAACUAUUUCUAAAUAUUUGUAUGAUACAAAUUAGAUAAAAUAGCAAAUAAUCUAUAUAAUGAAUGAUACACAUACUUCAGUGGGACAAAGGGGGGAGUAAACUUUACACUAACAACUCAAGGGUACAGAGAAUUUUAAUUUAGUGAUCAAGUAUUAAAUUAUAGCUGUGAUGAUAAGUUAUAUAUACUAAUUUUUUUAUAUAUUUACUUCCAACUUAUUGAAACUUGAGAAGUAUGCUUACAUUUAGAGAUGUAUAGUUAUUAGUCAUAAGUGUCAUCAAAUCGGUCAGAGUAAUAGUAUAGUGGUAUAGUGGUUCAACCGAUGGUUCAUUAAUUAAUUUUAUGUCGGUUAAAUCCGACAUACAUGCUUAUCUAUACAAUCUUUAAUAAAAAAAUUAACUAGGUAAAUACUCAAAUUUAAAAUUCAUGUUCUUAGUCUACUAAGAAUACCCAUAGAUAAACAAUUUUAACAAACAAAGUCUGGCCCAUCUUCCAUUGAUGCAAAUCAACUAAUUGAACAAAUAAAAGAACUAAGUAAGGAAGACGCACUUUACAAUAACAAUUAAAAAUCCUAACAUGUAAGGUAAGAAGAAAGAGAGAGAUGAUUUAAGGCGGGAGAUGAUAUAAACACACACCUUAAUGGGCAAUGACUUCAACUCUACAAAGAAUUGGAUGGAACGAAGAUGAUAGGUCGGUGGAAGGGACUGGACAAAGAUGAUACCUCGGGGAAGCCUGGAACUAUAAAAGAAAUGAAGAAGGGUUGAAGAAGUGUGAACAGUGGAAGGAGAAAAAUCGAAUAAGGGUAGAAGAAUUGUGAACCGUGUAGCCUAGAACUUUUUUGAAAACCCUACUUCCCUAAAACGACGCCAUUUAUGGUUAUUUUUUAAGAAUAAAAUACAUGUAUAAACCGGCUAAUUUAGUCAAAUUUCGCCUGGUUCACCAGUUUUGACCAAAUUCGGUCGGUUUUCACUGGUUUUGAUACUUGGUUAGUAUCAUAACCAUACUGUAUCGGUUAGGGGUUCGGUUCACCGGUUCUUCGAUUGACAUGGACGGUACGGUUUUUACGUUAUGGUUUGUUAAUGAGAUGGGGAAUAAGUAUUUUAACAAUCAAAAAUCAAAAUUAUAAAAGGUAAAUAAUUAAGUUUAUUUCCUAAUAUUUGGUGUAUCUUUCAAUAAUUAUAUUAAAUUCGUUUUCGUACUAACUUAAGUGAAGAAAAAAAUUAAGUAAGAGAAAACUGGUGAUUAUUUAUAAAUGUUAGGGUUGCAAUUUGUUCACCAAGUAAUAAUCAUUAAAGAUAUAAUGUUGUAUUUGUGGAUGAUGGUUGUUAAAGUCUAGGUUAUUUUAUAGAAAUUUUUUAUUGCCUAAACGUUGGGGUGUAAUCAUUUUUAGGCUGAAAUAGACAAAUGGAAUGUCAUAUUACUAUAUGAGAUGCUCAAGUUUUAUUUUCCAUGUUUUUUUUAAAAUUAUCAUAUGAAAGAUUAUAAAAAAUAUUGAUAUAUUUUUGUACGUUUUAUAUUGACAAUGCUUUUUUAUUUGGGUUAUUCUAGAUAGAAGGUGUUUGUCUAAUAUUGUAAAGCCUCAUUAGAUCCUCAAGAUGACUAAAACGUCAAUGGUUCGAUUUAUGUAAGCGACAUUUGUUGGCAGGGGCAGUCAUACACCCCAAAAGAGAUUAGUUUCUUACCCAAGGGUGAAGGGAUACCGUUUUUUGUACCCAAAAAAAUAAACAUUGUCUUGUGGACAUCUUACUCUUAUUUAUAAAUGUAUAAUAUAUAAUUACAUUUUCAGUUCUUCCAUAUCAUAAAUAUUUCAUAAAACAAUUCAUAUCAACAUAAUUAUUUCUUAAAUUCUUUUGCUUAAUAUUUUUUACCAUUGUGAUCUAGUGUUAAUCUUUUAUAAUUUUUCAAAUUUAUUUAAUAAAUGCAUAGACACAUUUUCUUAAUAUAUAUGAUAGUGAAUUAAAAAAUCAAAUAAAAUUAAAUAAAACCUUUAGAUGAUAAUAUGAGAUAUUAACUAUGAUACUUCUACACAAGAAACUGAAAAAAGCUCAAGGGCUUAUGAUCUGAGUUAUUGUCUUGGAUUCAUUUUGAGAAUUAAAAUAAUUUAGUUGAGAAUUGUGUGAAACUCUUAUUUUUUAAGUGAGAAGUAAAUGCAAUAUCAAUGAAGGAGUGCAAUAAAAUAAAAGAGAAGAAGAUAAAAUAAUUUAUUAAUAGGGUUCUGAUCAAUUUUGUAUACGUGCCUAGAAGCGUACAGUAGUUAUCAAUAUGUAUUUUUAGAGAAUAAGAAUUAUAAGUUCUAACAAAUUCAUGGGUAUAAAACUCAUAUGGUGUUUCUAAUUUGUGCAAGUUAUAAUAAGUAUCUUGAGCCUAAUAUUUAACAUUGUUUUUCUCAUUCUUCCAAUACUAGGCAAUGUUUUACUUAUUAUAAUAAUAUAUUUCAAGCAAUCUUCACCUUAGUGAAUAUUUUAUUCCUUAAUAAAUAUACGCAACAAUCACCACCUUAGUGAAUAUCCAACUCCAUAUUACGCAAUGACUAACUCUUUUUAUGAGCUCCUCCAUUGGACUUCUUCCACAUGUGAGAAUGCUCAUCUUCAACAUAAGUCGAGUAUCCUUUAUGAUAUUACCAAGAUUUAAGUUGUCCCAACUCAAAUUUUGAUGGAGAACCAAUUUCACGACUUCGGAGUAUGGGGAAAUAGAUUCCUUUUCUACAAAAUGAUUUGGAGUUGUCACUACAUUUUUUUUAUCAGAAUAUAAAUUUUUUCUUUAUACCCAAAUAGAAAACAAAUAUGAUUAUUGAACUAAAGUUCAAAGCUUGGGAGUCAAUUACAGGUCGGGAAAGGUAUUCACACCUCAUCUGAUCGUAUUAAAACAAUACCCACGCUAACUAGAUGGAUCCUUAUGCCCUCGAUUUAUUUUUUAAAAUAUUAAUUACUAAAGAAAAGUAGUAUUUUUUUUUUACCUACGAAGAGCUUAUUUGCUUUAAUGCAUCCUCAUGUUGUAAUAUGAAAAUCAAGACAACAUAGUUCAUGGCUGAAAAUUGAUCAAUGGAUUUGUAUAAAUUUUAUUAAAGAACUAAUAUAAAAUUAAAGGAGGUCAAUAGCAUAAGAGAUUGUAUUAGUUGUGAACCGACAUCUCAAUUUGAGAGGUAACAUAGAUAGUAUUGAUAACCGCAAUUGUUUCUCUACAUAUAUAAGAAAUUAAGAUACCACAUGAAUAUCAAACUCAUUAUUAGAUUCCAAAAACGGUUUAUCGAUUUUCAUAUAAAAAACUCACAACCACACAAAUUUCUUAUCAUAACAAUGGUGAUUUUAAGUUGUUUUACUAUAUACUAUAUAUUUCCAUUAACAAUAUACAAAUCCUCAUUCCAUUUUCCAUUAUAUAAUUAACAUAACUAAGUUAAUUAACAUGGUCAAGUUCCUUAUGCAUACUCAAGUCCUUGCAGCUUUCUUCGCUGUCAUUCUACUUCUAGCACAUAUUGAGAUGUGUCCUAUAUUAAGUAUUAAUAUAGAAGCAUAAAUCAAACCCAAAACCAUGAAUAGUUGGUUAUCUCAGAAUAAUUGUUUAACAUCAGCAUCAAGGUAUGACACACCGACAUGGUGGUUGUCUUUUAAAUAGGAAAAGUCUCUUGUCUCCGUCUAACAUCAGCAUCAAGCAUGCUACCAAAUUCCAAUAUAGGGAUUUAUAUUUUGAAGAAUAAUUAUUAUCAUUGAUAUAUUAUACCUUAUUUUUUAUUAUAUUUUUUAAUGUCUAGGUAAAAUGAUCGAAGUGGUUGAGAACCUGGAUACUAUCAUUCAUGAAGUAGUAAUCACUGAUGAUGAGGACUAUGUGGAGGAAAUAGAUGAGAGUGAAAGUGAGAGUGAGGAAGUGAAUGAAAGUGAAGGUUUGGAUAGUGUAAAUGACAACGAUGGAUUUAAUAACUAUGAUGAAAAACUAGAUUUUUGUGUGGGGGUUCAUUCAGAUGAUGAUUUAGUUGAAAUUUAUGUUGAGAGAAAGGUGGUUGGAGAACAAUUUAAACUCCAAUCUAAUGGUAAGGUGAAACUUCAAAUCAAUAUGUUACUAUUGUUAGAGAAACUUCAAACCAAUAUGUUCAUAAACGACUUACCGGCUUGAGAUACUAUUGUUAGAGAAACAAAUCCUGGGAGUAAAGUGACGAUGGAGUUUGCAAGGGUCACAAUUGAUAGGAACCCACAAUUUAAACGAUUAUUUGUAUGUCUUGGUGCAAGGAAAAAAAGAUUUGUUAGAGGUUGUAAGCCUUGGUUUAGAAUUGAUGGAUGCCAUUUAAAAGGUCCUUAUGGAGGAAUUUUACUUGUUACAGUUGCCCUUGAUGGAAAUAAGGGUAUAUUUUUUAUUGCAAUUGUUGUGGUAGAGGUGGAGUGUAAGGAUUCAUGGAGGUUUUUUCUAACCUUAUUAACUGAAACUUUGCACACUCUACCAAAAUGGAAGGAGGAUAAACUAACCAUUAUGUCAUAUACACAAAAGGUUAGUGUGUUUAAAUUAUAUAUCUCCCUAUAGUGAAUAGAUAAUGUCUCUCUAAUUAUUGCUAUUCUACUUAAUUUUUGUAUAAAAAGAACAUGUUGUGAGAAAUGAAGUAAUUCAGGAUAGGAUGUUAUAUGUUUUUUUUUAUAUUUUGGUUUAAGUUAGAGAUAUUAAAUGAUUCUUUAUUUGAAUUCCAGUGCUUAAAAGAUGCAGUUAGUGAGAUAUUUCCAAAUGCAGAACAUAGGUAAAUGAUUAAUUAUAAUCUUGUAUUGUUAAUAUUUUAAAAUACUUUAUUAAUCACUACUUGUUUUUGUUAAUAGGUUUUGUUGCAACCACUUGUUGAAUAACUUCAAGCUUCGAUUCAGGUCUUUAAUACUAACAACAGAGUUUUGGGCGGUUGCAAUGGCUUAAAAUGAAACCAUGUUUAAUAAAGCUAUUACUACUAUGAGAAAAAUCAACAAUGAUGAUGUAGAAUGGUUGCUAGAUUCUGAUAGGCCUAAAAUUAUGUGGGCAAGGCAUACAAUUGAUCCAAUCUGUAAAAGUGAUCAUGUGACCAACAUUGUGUGUGAAGUGUUUAAUGCAUGGAUUGUAGAUGAUAGAAAAAAGACUAUGUUGUCUAUGAUGGAGUCUAUUGUGUGUAGAUUAAUGGGAACAUUUGAAAGAAGGUUUGCAAAGAGUUGUGGUUUUGAGCACAACAUAACUCCUAACAUUCGGAAGGUUUUAAACACUAACAUGCAAGAUGGGAGGUUCUGUACAAUGACUUAGUUUACUUAGUUUGCCAUGUUUUACUUCUAUGUAUCUACUUAGUGUUUACCAUGGAGUGCUGGUUAUAUAGUUAUGGAACAUUUAAUUUCUAUAUGUGUAUGUUAAUUUUACAUGCUUAGUUAGUGUAUAUAAUGAUGCGGUAAUUAUUAAUAUUUUUUUAUUGUUCGUUUUUAUUUUAUUAUUUCAAGCAAAUGAUGAUGCAAGUAUAUCUGAUAUACCUUUGAGUGCAAGAGAAUCAUAUGGUGCCAACAACAUUUAGGAUAUUUUUUAUGUAUUUUGUUUUUAAAAUUUCAUAUGAGACUACUUUUAGUUUUUUUUUCUCCAGAUUUUAUGGUGUAUUUGGAUUUAUAAUGAAACAUGAACCGUAACUCUUUCAACUUUGUUAUGUUAUUUUAGUUAUUUGCAAUGAAAUUUUAUUAUUGCUAACAACAUUUGGAUUUAGUAUUGUAAGUUUAAAUAAUUAUUAUAAAUUAAUGAGAUUAAAGUUAUAAAAAUUAUGAAAUGAAAUUGAGGUUAAAAUCCUCUAGAAACAUAUAAUAGUUACCUUCCUGCAGGUUUCCAUAUAUAAUUUCGAGUAGUGAAGAUUGAAAAUCUCCACAAUUAAACGAUCUUAAAUAAUGAAGGUUUAAAGCCUUCAUGCUAAACACUACAAAAAUCACCUCAAAUAGUGGAGGUUAAAAAACUCCUCAAAUCGUGGAUGUUAAACUAAUGAAUGAUGAUUCAUUCCUAAAUAAAUACAUUUAAUACAAAUAUUGAUAAUAAAUGAAUAAAUAUAUUGAAAGAAUAAACUAAUAAAUACGAUGUUACUAUUAAAGACAUAUUACUAAUAUGUUAUUAUCUAGAAAACUAAUUAAUAUAUAUUACACAUAAUUUUCAUUAAUUUCUUAAAUAUAGGUAAUGGAUAGAAUAUAAAAAUAGUCAUAAUAAAUACUAAAUAGAUUUUGAUGAAAAAGAAAGGUUUGAGUUAGGUUUAUUUUAUAAAAUAAAUUAUGAAAAAAAUUUUUUUAGGAGGUUGAAUAAGUUAAAUGAUAGAAAGGUUUUUUAAUUAAAAAAAAUAAAUAAGAUACUACAUUGGUUGUUAAUUGAUGUUGCAAUGCAACUUUCAGUCAAUCAUCGGUUAUAUGACAGGUUUGGAUCCACCACUAUAUUUUUGCGGUCAAAAUAAAGAAAACAUUCUUUAAACCCACCUUUAAGGAAUAUGUUGUCUCACAUGAUAGGAUUUUGCUCCUACGUCUCCCUCUCAACAAUAGAGAAUCAAGACUACCUAGUUCUUUAGUAGAAAAUACUUUGUUGGUUGAUUUUAUAUUAUUUCUGAAUAGGAGAAGAUGUUUUAAUUUUAAUAUGGUGUCCAUACUUAAAUGACUAAAUUACAACCAUAAUGUAUGAUAUCGCAUUUCAUAUUAAGGAGGUAAAGCUUAACCAAAAUCAAUAUUUUUUAAUGUUUAAAGGUUUUUUAGAAAGGUGAUACACAAAGGAAGAGAUUAGCUGCAAAAAAAUUAAACGAUCCCAUUAGGAUUCUCUAGAACUUUUAUGUUACUCUCUCUUUUUUGGAAUAUUUUGAUGUGUUUUCCGGUUUUUUCACUUUGUCAUGAAUGCAAUACCUCUAUUUAUUGGAUGGAUUUCACAUAUGCAUAAAAUAAAAGUGAAUCACUUUCAUUAAUGCAUCGAAUCAAUUAAAACAUUUUAUUGGGUGUAAGAUUGUUUCUGAGAUAUCUAGAAAUAUCUCUUAAUAACUUUAUAAAGUCAUAGAAUAUUAUGGUGACACUCAUAUUAAUUCGGCUUUAAAAUUAAAAGUGUCCCAAAUGCUCUAUUUUGGGUAGAAAUUUCAUAACAAGUUCAAAAGGAAAUCACAAAUGUUCUUUUAUAAAAUGGGAUCUUUCCAUUAAUAGAUUAAUAAAUUCAUUAAGUCACUUAAAACCCUUUUUGAUUUUAUUUUAUAAAUAAAAUUAAAAUUGGUGAGAGAAAUUAAUUUGAAAUAAUAUCCUUGUGAAAAAAACUAAAAAUUGUAUCCAAAAAAUCUUGAAAUAGUAUCCCACCAUUAUUGAGUCAAAUAAGUGAUCUUUAAAUACCAUUUUUUAUUGUAAAGGAAAUCAAAAUGUUGGGAGGGAAGUUGACUUAGAUGUUGUAUCUAGUCAAUUUAUUCACAUUAAGUCAUUCAAACCCGUUUUUUAUAUGAGUGUAAAAUAUGAAUUUAUCCUCUUUACUUGUUGCUUACCAUAAAAGCGGGCAAAUUGAAGUUUGAAAGAUAUCAUGUCAGGUAACUAGUAAGGAAAUGAACACUAAUUUUGUCAAGGUUAAAAGAACUUACAUAUUCAAACUUCAGAUGCCUCGUAGUGAGGUUGAAACUAGUCAACGAUGCAGACUGAAAUACAGUAACCGUUAGUUUUAUGUAGUAGUUCGGGAAGCUUCUGGAAUAGAAAUCAUCAAUUUGGUGCGGCAGUUCUAGACUCUGCUGAAAGGGAAACCAUCAAUUUGGUGACAUAGUCUGAGAAUCUUCUGAAAAAUGAAACAAUCGAUUUGGUGAAGGAGUUUGAGAUUAUGUUGAAAGGGAAACCACCGAUUUGAUGAAGUAGUUUGAGAAUCUACUUAAAGGGAAACCAUCGAUUUGGUGAAGCAAUUAGAGAAUCUUCUAAAAGGGAAACCAUUGACUUGGUGAAGUUCAUCGAGAAUCUGCAGAAAUGGAAACCAUCAGUUUGGUUAAGUAGUACGAGAAUCUGCUAAAAGGGAAACAAUCGAUUUUGUGAAGCAUUUUGAGAAUAUUCUGAAAGGGUAACCAUGUAUUUGGUGAAGUAGUUUGAGAAUCUGUUGAAAAUGAACCAUCAAUUUGGUGAAGCAUUUUGAGAAUCUGUUGAAAUUAUAACUAUUGAUUUGGAGAAGCAGAUCGAUAAUCUAUUGAAAGGGAAACCAUCGAUCUAGUGAAGCAUAUCAAGAAUAUGCUAAAAGGGAAAGCAUUGAUUUUGUGAAGCAGAUCGAGAAUCUGGUGAAAGGGAAUCAUCAAUUUAGUGAACUGGUUCGAGAAUCUAGGAUAGAGAAACUAUCGAUUUGCUGAAAAAAAUUGAGAAUAUGGUGAAAGGGAAACCAACAGUUUGAUGAAGUAGUUUGAGAAUCUGCUGAAAAGGAAAUCGCUGAUUCGAAGAGUCAGAUCAGGAAUCUAUUGAAAUAAGGCUUACGGGCAUCUCAACAUCAGAGUGUGAACAUGAUGAUAAACGUACUUGAGAAAGGGAUGGCCCCACAUUGUCUAGGCCAAUUAUAUAUGUAGUUGGGAUGUGAAGAUGCAUGUAUUGAUGUUUGAUUAUUUGUGGAUAUGAAAUGACUUGAAUAUAAAUUUUCUGCUAUAUUUUGUAUGAGAUGAGUAUACAAUAAAGGGAAAGACUCGUACACAAAUAUUCUAAUGUAUCACUCUUGAUUUAUUUUUUCUUGGGAUGGAAUUCAUAAACCUUUGUGGAUUUGACUAAAGCAUCAAUUUAUGAUUGUUUUUAUUAGCAUGAUUGAAUGACAACUUGUCUUUCAUAAAAUUGCUUUAGUUUGCUUGAUGACACAUUUCCAUUAAGGUAAUUCAUACAAUGUGCCCUAGUGCCAUCUUGAAUGACUAAACUCAUAUAUAUUGCUCUAGCGUAGGUUGGCUGAGAGUUUCUUUCAAAUGUGUUUGAAUAAAAAAUUUAUCAUUGUGCCUAUUCUGAACUUUUGACUUCAACUUGGAGGCCAUUAUUCAGAUUCUCCAUAAAGAUGCCCCAUUUUGGGAAAUUAAGGAUAAGGGGUAGUAAGCCUUCACAUUGAGGUGCACAUUUAAUUUUCCUUAACUUUUAUCAAGAAUACCUAGUGUAUGAGCUUGUCGAGAAUUUUCUCAUUUAUUAUCAUCCUCAACCACCUUUUCAUUUUUUGACUUAUAAUCACUCUCCUUUUCCUAGGUUGCUCAUGUGGGUUGUCAACCUAGCACACUUUUUUUGUUUUUUGUUCUUUGAUUUUUACUUUUUACUUUAUUUAACACCGUCGACUUGGUGGCCUCAUUUGAUAGUAAGUAGAAGUCUUGUGUGGGUCAUUGUUGGAGUUGUUCUUCACAGUCAUAACAUAGUAUCAUUCACUUCUUGGUUGAUAGAUUAUCCAUUUUCUAUUAUUGGCAUGACUUAUAAGGCCAUGGGAAGCAACUCCGUACUGCCUCGUUUUUUGGCUUCUUGUAACUUUUCACUAGAAAAAUGGGAACACCCCAAAAAUAUGGCCCAACAUGGAUACAAGGAUUUAUCCUUCUAUUCAAAUUGUCCUGAAAUGAAAAAUUUGGAAGGACUUAGACAAUGAAUCAUCUCAAAAUAUGCCCUAGUUUGAAAGGUUUCCAUGUUUCUUUUACUUUAGAAGUCUUUAUUGUAUGCACAACUCUUUAAGAAUAAAUAUUAAAACAAUGAUCAUGCAAACUUGACAAGUGUUUGGAUUAUGCGUGGUGAUACGAUAAUGAUUAUAAAAUUUAAUUUUUGUUUAAGCUUUCUUAUAUGUAUUGUUCAAUUUGUAUGUGGUUGCGAGUUUUGAUAUGUUUAUGAUGAAUAUAAAACGGAACUUGUGUUUGGGCUUUGAAUUUUGUUGAUGAUGGUGAUGGUGAUGAUGAGAGAAUGGAAUGUUAAUCAUAUGCAUUAAGAUGAGAUUGUUAGAAAUUCAUAAUUUCUAAUUAAGGUGAACAUCAUAUAAUUAAUACAAUUAUAUUGGCUAUUUAUUUUGGUAUUCCAAAACAAGUGAUCUAAUUACUCACAACCUAUAAGACUUCUAAAACUGAUAAUGUAUAUGGCUUAAUGAGUGGAUACUGAAACGGUUGGCCUAUAUGUGAUAAUGUGAACCCUAUAAGUUAACGUAUAAGGAACGAUUAUGAUCUCCAAUGCACCAAAUCACAAAUAGUUUUCACCUCUCCCCAUCAGAGAGAAAAUGAAGGUCCCAAAAAAAAUUAAUGAUUUGGUUGAGGAAGCCCAUCAUACCAAAACUCUAUGAAAAUGUAUAUCAAAAAAGUAGAUUAGAGAACAUGGAUUUGGGUAUGACUUUGUAUCAUAGUUCUAUAUUAUGUGUGAGAAUCAUGAGAUUCAAGGUCCUAGGAUUGGUAUUUCACCAAUCAUUAGGAAAUAUAUGACAAGUGGUAUCAGAUCUUUAGGUUCUGAAUUUGUUAAUCAUAAAAGAUAUUAAAUCCGAAGGUUUUAAUUCCAAGAUCAUAAUUUAUUUUAUAAUGGACCUAUAUUGUUUUCCUUUUCUGUGGUAAUUAUUUUUGAAAUAAUUGGUGCAAUUGUUGUCAAAGUAACCUUUAUGGUGGAAAUUGAUAAAUAAUACAUAGAUGAGUAUGAGAUUAUUUAUGAGAAUUGUGUUUUGUCAAGUAAUAACAUACAUGUGAUGAUAAAUAAGUAACAAUUAUAAAGUUUUUUUCUUGUGAAUAAUAGUCGGUCCAAAGAAAGACUAUUGUUUGACAAAACUAAUUGUUAAUAUUUGAUCAUUACGUUUAGAGUACAACUUACAUAUUAUUUUCUCUGUCCAAAGACUAGAAAUUGAUGUUGUGCUAGGUAUCUUGUGAUGAGUCUAUUAUGUGAACAUGUCUUGUUUUAUAUGUAUUACCUGAUUUGUUUCUUUAAAUGGUUGCAACACUUACGGUUUGUUGUAUUAGUUGGUAGUUGAUUGCAUUAUUAAGGGGUUGCUAUUGUUGAAACACUAUUUCCAUUUGAACAUUGUGUCGUACUAUGUUUAGUCAUGUAUAAAAUGGUAAUAUAUUUUUAAUGGAAAAUUAAAAAGAACCAUCACUGGAAUUUGAAACGCAGAUCUUGGUGAUGGAAAUUAUGCAAUGCUACCAAUAGGCUAUAGUGUAUAUAUUAUAUAUAUGUGGAUAUAAAUAAUUCAUAUUUUGGAUUAAGUGAUGAAUCAAACUCAACUAAAUGGUUUUAAUGAAAUUGUUUGACAUUUUAAGUGAACAUAUUAAAUAAGAAUUCGCCAAAGUGACAUAUUUUCUAUGAAUUGUUCAUAAAUGUCAAAUACUAGUGUGAAUAAGUAUCUAUGCGAGUAUUAAUUGGCUCAAAUGAAGAUUAUUAUUUGGUCGAAUUAUAUACAUACAUAUGAUGGUAAACAUGUGACUAUUUUAAGGUUGAAAAUGGGACUGAUAAAUUAGUCUAGAGAAAGAUUUAUUAUUUUACAUGCAUUAUGAAUAAUGUUUGACCCUUACAAAAAUAUAUCAUUAGUGAUUGAUAUGAAAUAUCAAGCCAAAUGUAUGUUUGCAUUUUAUGUGAAUAGUGAUCGGCCCUAAGGAAUAUUAUUAUUUGGCCCAAAUUACAAACAUACUUGUAGUAUUAAUAUGUGAUAAUUAUAUGCCUUUGCAUGUGAAUAGUAAGUCAAUCCAAAGAAUAGCUUAUUGUUUGAUAUGACUGAUUAACAAUGUUUGAUUACUAUAUUGAGUGUACCACUUAUAAGUUAAUAUUUUUAUCCAAAGACUAAAUAUUAAUGUUGUGUUAGGUAACUCAUGAUGUGCCCCACCAUCAUUUGAAUUUAGGUUUUAAAGUUGAAUGUGAGUUUAAUUGCAAGAAUGGUUGCAAGAAUGAUUGCAAUUUGUUUUGUUCUUUUACUAGUGCUACAAAUAGUUUUGUUCAAAUUGAGAAUAUCUCAUUGUUGAACGGGACACACAUUAAGGUCUAUAAGAAAGCCGUGGAAAUUAUUCUCGGCUAUAUGGAUUUAGAUCUGGUACUUCAAGUGGAGAAAUCCAUUUCGACUCUGUAAAUCCUCGAUGAGGUUAAAAUUGAGAAAUUUGGAUGCUCUUAUUGUAUGUGUCUAAUGAUCAUGAAACACUAUAUUCUAGAAGUGUUUCAUAAUUCUAUUUUUGAGGGUCAGAGUGCAAGGAAGUUCCUUCAAGAAAUAGAACCAUACUUUUGCAAAAAUGAGAAGGCGGAGACUAGUAGCUUUUUUGGGUGAAAUCAUCUCCAUGAAGUAUAAAAGCAUAUGGAACAUAAGGAAGUACAUUAUGGAGAUGCCUAAUCUUGCAUCAAAACUCAAGUCACUUAAGUUAGAGCUGGUUGAUGACUUGCUCGUGCACUUGGUUUUGAUCUCGCUUCCUGCACACUUUGGGAUAUUCAAAGUGAGCUAUAACACUCAAAAGGACAAAUGGUGUCUCAAUGAGUUUAUAUAUCAUUGUGUCCAAGAGAAAGAGAGGUUCUAGAGAGAUAAGACUGAAAGUGCUCAAUUGGCUAUGACCACUCAGAAUAAGACAAGAAUGAACAAUACGGAUGUUGUGAAAGGGUUAUUUGUGUUUUUCGUCAGAGAUUGUGGAUUUGUUCCGCAAUACACUAUGCCAGACAAACCUAAAAUAAAAGGUGUUGUUGGCCGACGAAAAGAAACUCUUAAGGAUAUGGUGAGAAUUAUGCUUAGUCAUUCUUCCUCACUAGAGUCUCUUUGGAGGGAAAAAACCGUUAAUAAGACCAAGCUUAAAACAUUGCACAUUUGGGGUUGUUCAGUUGAGGAAGGCCUUAUAGGCCACAGGAAAGGAAACUCGACUCAAGAACAGUUAGAUGUUAUUUUGUUGGCAAUGUUGAGCGCUCUCGGGGCUAUAAAUUUUACGAUCCUACUUCAAGACAUUUUUUUUUUGGACGGGAAAUGCAAGAUUUCUUGAGGAAGUUGAUUUUGGGAAGGAAGAGAACAUAAGGAAUUUUAUCUUUGAGGAAGAACAUGUCACUAGUAGUGAACAAAUUCUUGUGUCUAUUACCAUUCAAGGAACAACUUCGGUAAUAGAAGAUAAUGUUUAGGAUAUUGUUCCUGACAAUAUUCUAGAACAAGACAACAAUGAGGUUCUCUCUCAAGUACUUAAAGAAAAAAUUCAACAACCUCAAGAAGUAGGGGUGCCAUUAAGCAUAUCCACUAGAGAGAGAGGAUGUGCAAUUCCUGAUGAUUAUAUUGUAUUUCUUCAAGAAUAUGAGGAUGACAUCAGGAUAACAUAAGAUGAUUCAUUGAAAAAAUGUCAAGACAUGAAAAGUUCUAACUCUCAAAAGUGGAUCAAUGUCAUGAAGAAUGAGAUGAAGUCUAUGCAUGAUAAUAACGUUUGGGAUAUUGUCGAAUUAACUGAAGUUGCGAAACCUAUUGAUAGGACAAAUUGCAAGUGGACGGUUAUAUCGUCAAGUAAUAAAAUAUCGAUCCCACGAGGACUAGAAAAUACUUUAAUUAUAACAAUUAAUUUAUAUGUAACUCAAAGCAAAAUUAUAAGUGAAUUUAGAAAAAUUGAACAUUUGACAAGAAUAAUUAUGAAAAUAUUAAAAAGGAUUGAAAUCUAAUUUAGGAAGAGUUCCAAGGAUAAGGGUUUACCCCUUUACACUCNNNNNNNNNNNNNNNNNNNNNNNNNNNNNNNNNNNNNNNNNNNNNNNNNNNNNNNNNNNNNNNNNNNNNNNNNNNNNNNNNNNNNNNNNNNNNNNNNNNNUAAAUUACAUAACAACAUAUAGAUUGAUGAAGGGCAUUGCAUGUAAAACUUUCAAGGUAGAUUUUUUUAUUAAUAAUAGUACAUAGGUAAAACUCUAGUUUUAUUAAUAUAUCGUGGCUCACUAUGAGCUCUUACAUGAUAGUAGAUAGCAGCUUAGUAAAGAGUGAUCUAAAUGGAAAAGAUAAGACCCCUUCUUCCACGCCUUCCCUCCUUCUCCCUUUGCUGUUGCUGCUGAGGUUGAGCAUUUGCAAAGUAAGAUUGUUGUUGGUUCUUAAUUAAUCUCUCAACAUCUUCAACAGAACCAGGGAAUGUAAGCUGCUUCACUUCUUUAUCUAACUGUCUUAUCACAUUGUCUUCAGAACCUUUCAAUUUUCAAUAAUUUNNNCAAUAAUUUCCAAACAUAACAAUAUGAGUUAGUAACGCCAAAACCAAAGUCAUAAAGCAAAUAUUAUAAUUUACAAUUAGGUAUUUGUGCCAAAAGUUUAAUUUGUUGCCACAUUGGCUUCGUCCAAAGAUAUAGUUGGUGAUUUGGCGAUCAAUUUUAUAACUGUGUAUCUACCUUUUAAAUAGCAUGUUUAGAUUAAAUUAAAAUAUAUUUAAUUAUAAACUUUGAAGUUGAAUAAUGUUUAUGGUACCUGCAAGGAAAUUCCUCUGGUUUUCAUCAGCAUUGAUGCCAUAUCCAAGCAAGCGAAGANNNNNNNNNNNNNNNNNNNNNNNNNNNNNNNNNNNNNNNNNNNNNNNNNNNNNNNNNNNNNNNNNNNNNNNNNNNNNNNNNNNNNNNNNNNNNNNNNNNNAAGCGUUGAUGGAAAUUGGAUGACCUGCUGGAAUUACGAAAAUGUCACCUUCUGAUAAUUUAGCAUUGUACCUUCUCACUUCUUCCUGUUCUUGCUCAUCUUGUUGUCGUUCUUGAUCUCUUAUACCCACCAGUUCAUAAUUUCCUUCUCCUUCAUCAACCACGACUACAAAUAUGGCCUUUGAGUUAUAGUGUGGUAACAACAAACCUCCCUAACAUAAAAAAAUCAAAUCAUUAGUAAUAGUAUUGUUGUCUAAGACACAACACCAGUGAAUAAGUUCAAGGAAUUGUGUGUAUUGUUAUUUGGGGUUGGAUGUAAAUAAUGUACCUCGUUAAUUUCUAUGAAGGUGAGAGAGAUAUCCAAAUCCUGAGCUUGAGGGUUUCUGUCUGGGGUGAUCUCGUAGAAGUUGCCAAACUUGUUUGAAUAAAUGGGUUCAUCGCUUCUCAAGUUGAAGGGGCCAGAUUCAGAUGGUUUGCCUUUUCCUGAUGAUGAUUGAGCAUGUUUUCUCAAUUCUUGGAUCUGUUCCUUUGACACUCUCACUAUCACCCCCUCAUCUUGGUGGCUCUGCUCUUGUCCACGACUUUGCUCCUCAUCUUCCUGCCCGUCCUCAUUUCCUAAAAUAAUCCUUUGUAUCUCUUCAUAACGGGUCUAUAUUUGAAAUCCAAACAAACAAAUAUGUGAUCAUUAGUACAUAUACUCAAUAAAUAAUUGUGCAACCAACGCAGAUCAGAUGUCAUACAUUGAAGGUGGCCUCUAAAGUGUUCCUACUGAAGCCGUUGAAGUAAGACUGUUGGUCUUUAGUACUUGAUGGAUAGAAAUCCUAUAAAUAUACAAAUAUAGAGAGAAAGGAGGAAGAAAUUAAAAUUACAUGGUGUUAAAUAUGCAAUGGGUGCAUAGAAAAUUAGAUGAUAUAAACAUAAAAGAUAAUAUGAUUGNNNNNNNNNNNNNNNNNNNNNNNNNNNNNNNNNNNNNNNNNNNNNNNNNNNNNNNNNNNNNNNNNNNNNNNNNNNNNNNNNNNNNNNNNNNNNNNNNNNNCUUGUUCUCUUUCCUGAGGCCUCUCAUGAUUCUUUAUUGCAUUUUUUUCUCCGUAAGCAAUACCGAUUGACACUGCCAUGAGGAAUACUAUUCCUAGUAGCAACACUAACGUUGGAAACUUCACUCUCAUAUUAGCCAUAUUUUAUUAUAUUAGAUUGCACUCGAUGAUGAAAAUGGGGACUAAGAUCACUCAUAUUUAUAGAUCAUUUUCAUAAGAAAUGGUGCCAUGCAUGUUGACGAGUGUUCAUAUUGACAAAUUUGAGGUGUCAUGUGCAUGCCAUUUAUCAACACAGCUCUUUAUGGAUAUACAUGGACGCGGCAAUCAUGCAUAUAUGCUUCUUGCUUCCUCAUACAUGAAUCAUUGUUUUUUUCUUCAAUUUCAUGAACUGGGACUUUAUUUUGGAAACGAUACAUGGUACUCUCUCUCUCAUUUCAUAUUUGUCUUUUCUUGGCUCGCCGUGUUUAUGGUUUGUUCGCUAUAGAAUUAUUACGGUAGAAAAAUAUUAGAAUGAAUAGAGUUUAAAAACAAUAAAAUACAUAUAUCAGUUCAAAUUUAAAAACAAAUAGCAGGGUGAGGGAAAAAUUCAAUAUAAUCAAGUACAUAUGUUUUCGAAAAACGGGAUUUCUUUUAAAAAAUGUGAUAUAUAUAAUCCAACUCUUAACUCUAUGGCCACGUUUAUAUAAUGUUUGGUUAUCAUCUAAAGCCAUGCAAUAAUAAUAAUAAAUAUCUGUUAAUAGAUUUCAAUAAAGCAACAUGAAAGAUAAAAUAAAUGAAAGACAAAAAAACAUAAAUAUAUAUUGCACAUUAAAUGUCAUCUUCAAAAUUAGGGGUACAAAAGUUCGGUUCGAUUUUAUUUUUGGUACAAUUCAAUGAUCAAACAUAACAAUAUGGUUUGGUUCACUUCAAUUAACUAAUAAUAUUUAUGUAAGAACCGAAUCAAAUUGGUAUUGAAUGGUUUGGUUCGGUUAUGUGGUUUUCGUCUUCUAUUUUUUAAAAAAAAUCUCAUCAAUGGAAGUUCAAAAUGUAUUUCAUGAUUCAUUUGUUGUCCAUAGAUAGAAAAACAUUACUACAAUUAUUAUUAUUCUUAUGAAAUAUAAAUCAUAUAUAUAUAGAUAAGUAAACAAAUUGAAACUAAUAACAUAUAUAAAAAAUAUGUAAUUUAGGAAGAAGAAAAUACAUGACGACAUAUAUAAUAUUACAAUUCACAACCAAUAACAUAUAUAAGAGUUCAAUUCACAAUUAAUAACAUAUAUAACAACUUAGUAACAUAUAUAGCCAUACAAUUCACAAUUAACAACAUAUAUAAGUAGGUUCCAAAUAAUCAAGACACUAGGAAAGUCACAAACAUAUAUAUAUAUAUAUAUAUAACAAUUUAGUUGUGUAGUAACAUAUAACAAUUUACUAACAUAUAUAACACUACAAUUCACACAGAAUUGAUAAUUUAAGCCCCAAAGUUGGUUAAAGAAUUCAAACAUUACAACGAUAUUCUCUAUUAUUAAUUUCUUUAAUAUGUGGUUUGAUUGAGUUCGAAUUGUUCCAAAAUUUUCUAAAUUAUGAACUGAACUUAAAUUGUUCUUUAACAAAAAAGCCAAAUUGAAUAAGGAAACCACAGUGUUUUGUAAGUUGGUUCGGUUCGGACACAUUAAUUUCACAGUUUAACCCUAUUCCAAAUUAAUUUAUUGUCAAAUUAUACAAUCCUUAUAACUUGGAAGGGAAAAGUUAAUCACAUAGAAAAGUAAGGCUGAAGACCUCUUUGAGGUUAUUAAAUCAUAGUGUAUAUGUAGAACGGAAUUUGGGAAAAGAAGAAAAACGAAAUCAUAAUAAAGGAUUUUCAAAAUGGAAAGUGUGGGCAUGAUAAUUUCGCAAGAUAAUAUUAUUUUGAAUACUAUUUUGUAACAAUUUUUAAUUAUACUUUGAAUUUUUUAAUAGAUUUACAUUUUUUUGCCUAUAUAAUUAAAAAUAAAUUGUUGAAUAAAUAACGUACAAUACUAGUGUACGAAUAAUGAUAUUUGUUGAGCUGUUAAGGUUAUACCAAUACCUUACAUAUAAGAUUCAGUUAUAUAUGAUUGUCAAUCACCUGGUUAUAAAGAUUUGAUUAAACAAGAUUUGGUCAUAUAUGAUCAUCGAUUACCUGAAAUUAUAUCUUAACUGUGUGAAAGACCAAAAUUGAAAGAACUAUUUCUAAAUAUUUGUAUGAUACAAAUCAGAUAAAAUAGCUAAUCUAUAUAAUGAUAAACAUACUUAAGUGGGAUAAAGAGAGGAGUGAGCUUUACACUAACAUCUUAAAGGUACAUAGAAUUUUAAUUUAGUGACCAGGUAUUAAAUUAUAUUUGUGAUGAUAAGUUAUAGAUACUAAUUUUUUAAUACAUUUACUUCAAACUUAUUAAAACUUGAGAUGUAUGCUUACAUUUAGAGAUGUAUAGUUAUUAAUGGUAAUUGUCAUCAAAUCGGUCAAAGUACUAUAGUAUACUGGUAUAAGGGUUCAACCGGUGGUUCGGUAAUUAAUCGUAUGUCGGUUAAACCGGACAUACAUGCUUAUCUAUAUAACCUUUAAUAAAAAAAUAUUAACUAGAUAGAUACUCAAUUUAAAAUUCAUGUUCUUAGUCUACUAAAAUUACCCAUAGAUAAACAAUUUUAACAAAUCCAAAGUUUGGCCCAUCUUCCAUUGAUGCAAAUAGAAGCCUAUAAGGGGCUAAACUAGCAAAUCAACUAAUUGAACAAAUUGAAGAACCAAGUAAGGAAAAAGUACUUUACAACAACAAUUAAAAAUCCUAACAUGUAAGGUAAGAAGAAAACGAGAGAUGAUAUAAGGUGAGAGAUGAAAUAAACACACACCUUAGUGGGCAAUUGCAUCAACUCUACAAGGAAUUGGAUGGAACGAAGAUGAUACUUCGGUGGAAGGGACUAGACGAAGAUUAUACAUCGGGGAAGCCUGGAACUGUAGAAGAAGUGAAGAAGGGUUGAAGAAGUGUGAACAGUGGAAGGAUAAGAAUCGAAUAAGGGUAGAAGAAUUGCGAACCGUGUAGCCUAGAACUCUUUUGAAAACCAUGCUACCCUAAAACAACAUCGUUUAUGGGUGUUUUUUUUAGAAAAAAGUAUAUGUGUAAACCGGUUAAUUUAGUCAAAUUUUGACCGGUUCACCAGUUUUGACCAAAUUUUGCAUAAUAGGUUUUCAUGGUCAUUUCAACACCUUCUUGAUAGUGUUGAUCUCAUACUUAAAACAACAUUUAAAAUCAACAUUUCUUAAGUUACACUUACCACUUUAAAGUAAGCUUACCUUAUCAAUGUUCACCCUAUAACAAAUCAACCAUCCUUUACCUCAUACCACUUUAAGUUUAUAAAGUCAAGACUUUUAUAAGUCAUCUUUUAUUCCAAAUCAUUACUUGAACUUGGAAGUCAAAGAAUAUCAUUUACUAACCAACUUUUAAACUCAUAAUAUUCUAAAACAACACUUUUUCACAAAACUCAUCCAUAAACAUUUUGGAUUUUAAAGUUAGAAACUAAACUUUUCCUAAACACAUAUAGACCAUGAUUUAGACCUAAUGCUAAGGAAAUUUUUGAUUCUUCAACUUAUCAUUAAACACUUUAAAGAUUCCUUUGAUAACAAAAUCAUCCCCUUUGAAACAAAAUCAAACUUCAACAUUAAAAAUAUACUAUUCUAAACUUGUCCAAGGCUAUGGUUUUUUAAGCCAAAAACAAGUGGAAAAGUCCAAACUUUGCAUGGUUAGGAAAACUCCUUAAAGCUUCCUUUGAUAUACAACCAUCACCUUUAACCAUGUUCAAAUACCAACAAACAUAUAAACUUUCUAAAUAUUAAAAACAGCCCCAUGAACACAAAAAGUUCAUGGUUUCAAAAUAACUUUCUAAGUUCAAGAAAAUAUCUAUUUGGAGUUUUAAACAUAAACAUAAAAAGAGUUAGGAAGAUUAUUAGAAUAUUUCAACGGUUGAAAAUAUUCAUAACAUACAUAUAAAUAUCAUACUAAAAUUUCAUAAAUAUCUAAUGGUUAGAUCAUAAGAGAUGAAGAAAUCAAAAAGAAAAACCAUGAAGAACUAACUUGAGAGUUCUUAGAGAAUGCAAAGUGAAGAAAGAGUUUGAAAUGCCAAGGUAUUCUCUUAGCUAGGGUUUCGAUCAUUAAAGAGAGAAAUCAUAUUUGGGGGGAAAAAGUCAAUGGUUUUUCAAAAAGUAGUUUGUGUAAGAGAUAUGUGAGUGAUUUUAGGAUUUUGUGUAAGAGAAUAUGUACUUUUGCUUGUUUAACAAACAAGACUCUUACAUGAAAGUGGUGUGAAUUUUCGAUGAAACAUUCUCGAUUAAACAUGCUCGAGUAUUAUCGGCUAAUACUCAGCCGGAUAUUAAAAUUUCUCGAUUUCGGUUUACGGUUAGAACUUCGAAACACAUAAUUUGGAGUGAAAAAUAUUCAGAAAUGUGUUCUUGACGAAAUUCAUGUCUAUCUUGACUUGAAAUAAUAUUUCGAAGCAAAGGGCACAAUUGAAAUUCAGUUCCGAGUUACGAAACUCAAAAACACGUUAUUGAGCCGAAUAUGGGUGAAUUUGAGCCCGACAGAAGCUCAAAAACCUUUCGUCGUAGAAAAAUACGAAAAUAUACCACAAAAUAGAAAAUCAUAAAAAAGGACUAAUACUCAAUUAUGGUUUAACAAAAAUGCAUACCGAUUAAUUUCUAAAACUAAUCAUUGAUAAAAUAAAUAAUUAAUAAAACAUACACACAAAAUUCACGGUGUUACAAGGGUUGCAAUUUGUUCACCAAGUAAUAAUCAUUAAAGAUAUAAUUUUUUAUUUGUGGAUGAUGGUUGUGAAAAUCUUGGUUAUUUUUUAGAAGAAUUUUUAUUGCCUAAAAGUUGGGGUGUAAUCAUUUUGAGGCUGAAAUAGACAAAUGGAAAGUCAUAUUACUAUAUGAGAUGAGCAAGUUUUAUUUUCCAUGUUUUGUUUAAAUUAUCAUAUGAAAGAUUAUAAAAAAUGUUGAUACCUUUUGUACAUUUUAUAUUGACAAUGCUUUUUUAUUUGGGCUAUUCUAGAUACAAGGUGUUGGUCUAAUAUUGUAAAGCCCCAUUAGAUCCUCAAGAUGACCAAAUAGUUAAUGGUUCAAUUUUAGUAUGCGAUAUUUAUUGGUAGGGCAGUCAUGCAUCCCAAAAGAGAUUAGUUCAUUACCCAAAGGUGAAGGGAUACCGUUUUUAGUAUCCAAAAAAAUAAACAUUGUCUUCAGAACAUCUUACUCUGAUUUAUAAAUGUAUAAUAUAUAAUUACCUUUUCACUUCUUCCAUAUCAUAAAUAUUUCAUAAAAUAAUUCAUAUCAGCAUAAUUAUUUCUUAAAUUCUUUUGCUUAAUAUUUUUUACCAUUGUGAUCUAGUGUUAAUCUUUUAUAAUUUUUCAAAUUUAUUUAAUAAAUGCAUAAACACAUUUGCUCAAUAUAUAUGAUAAUGAAUUAAAAAAUAAAAUAAAAUUAAAUAAGACCUUUAGAUGAUAAUAUGGGAUAUUAACUAUGAUACUUCUAAACAAGAAACUAAAAAAAAUCUCAAUGGCUUAUGACCUGAGUUGUUGUCUUAUAUUCAUUUUGAGAAUUAAAAUAAUUUAGUUGAGAAGUGUGUGAAACUCUUAUUUUUUUUAAGUGAGAAGUAAAUGCAAUAUCAAUGAAGGAGUGCAAUAAAAUAAAAGAGAAGAAGAUAAAAUAAUUUAUUAAUAGGGUUCUGAUCAAUUUUGUAUACGUACUUGGAAGCGUAGAGUAGUUAUCAAUAUAUAUUUUUAGCGAAUAAGAAUUACAAGUUCUAACAAACUCAUGGGCAAAAGACUCAUAUGGUGUUUCUAAUUUGUGCUAGUUAUAAUAAGGAUCUUGAGCCUAAUAUUUAACAUUUUUUCUCUCAUCCAUCCAAUACUAGCCAAUGUUUUACUUAUUACAAUAAUAUAUUUCAAGCAUCCCCAACAAUAUCAACCUUGAUUGAAAUAGACUAAUAAUUUGGUCUUUAGGAAAUUUAUAUAGCAAUCUUCACCUUAGCGAAUAUUUUAUUCCUUAAUAAAUAUACGCAACAAUCACCACCUUAGUGAAUAUCCAACUCCAUAUUACCCAAUGCCUAACUCUUUUUAUGAGCUUCUCCAUUGGACUUCUUCCACAUGUGAGAAUCCUCAUCUUCAGCAUUAGUUGAGUAUUCUUUAUGAUGUUAUCAAGAUUUAAGUUUUCCUAACUCAAAUUUUGAUGGACAACCAAUUUCACGACUUACGAAUACGGGGAAAAUAGAUUCCUUUUUUCCAAAAUGAUUUAUAAAAUAUUAAUUACUAAAGAAAAAUAGUAUAUAUUUUUUUUAUCUAAGAAGAGCUUAUUUGCUUUAAUGCAUCCUCAUGUUGUAAUAUGAAAAUCAAGAUUAUAUAGUUCAUUACUAAAAAUUGAUCAAUGGAUUUGUAUAAUUUUUUUAAAGAACUAAUUUAAAAUUAAAGGAGAUGAAUAGCAUAAUAGAUUAUCUUAGUUGUGAACCGACAUCUCAAUUUGAGAGAUAACAUAGAUAAUAUUGAUGAUCGUAACUAUUUCUCUACAUAAAUUAGAAAUUAAGAUACCACAUGAAUACCAAACUCAUUAUUAGAUUCCCAAAAUGGUUUAUUGAGUUUUUUUAAAUUUUUUUAAAUAAAUUUUUUUAAUUAAAAAGAGAAGUAACAACAUAAGAGACUACAUUGCUUGGUAAUUGAUGUUGCAUCCCAAUUUUCGGUCAAUAACGGUUAUAUGACAGGUUUGGAGCUACCACUAUGUUUUCACGGUCAAAAUAAAAAAACUUUCUUUAAACCCACCUUUAAGGAUUAUAUUGGUCUUUGAAUUCGAAAUAUGGACUCGAGACUCAGUUACGGAAUUAGAAGAUUAUUGCAUCGACUAAUUUUAUACCCAAAUUUGUUUGAUUAUUUUAUUUAUUAAAAGGGAAACUAUUUUUAUUUUUUUGUUUUGUCUCAAAUGAUAGGAUUUUGCUCCUACAUCUCCCUCUGAGCAAUAAAGAAUCAAGACUUCUUAGUUCUUUAGUAGAAAAAAGUUUGUUGGUUGAAUUUAUAUUAUUUCUAAAUAGGAGAAGAUGUUUUAAUUUUAAUAUGGUGUCCAUACUUAAAUGAGUGAAUUAUAACCAUAAUGUAUGAUAUCACAUUUCAUAUUAAGCAGGUGAAGCUUAAUCAAAAUCACAAUUUUUUAAUGUUUAAAGGUUUUUAGAAAGGUGAUACACAAAGGAAGAGAUUAGCUACAAAAAAAUUAAACGAUCCCAUUAGGAUUCUCUAGUGUUUCUCUUUAGAACUUUUAUGUUACUCUCUCUUUUUUGGUAUUUUUGACGUGUUUUCCGGUUUUUUCACGUUAUCAUGUACACAAUACGAUGGAUUUGACACAAGCAGAAAACAAAAGGGAAUCGCUUUCAUUAAUGCAUCCAAUCGAUUAAAACAUUUUAUUUUUCUAGAAUCAAAUCUAUAAUUCAUUGACUAAUUUUACUUAAAAUUUAAUAUUGGCUGUAAGAAUGUUUCUGGGUUAUCUAGAAAUUUUUCUUAAUAAUUUUAUAAACUCAUAGAAUAUUAUCGUGACACUCAUAUUAAUUCGACUUUAAAAUUAACAGUCUAAAAUGUUCUAUUUUGGGUAGAAAUUUCAUAGCAACUUCAAAAGGAAAUCACACAUGUUCUUUUAUAAAAUGGGGUCUCUCCAUUAAUAGGUUAAUAAAUUCAUUAAGUCACUUAAAACCCUUUUUUAUUUUAAAAAUAAAAUUAAAAUUGUAGGGAGAAAUUAAAUUGAAAUAACAUCCUUGUACCAAAAAAAUUAAAAAUUGUAUCCAAAAAAACUUGAAAUAGUAUCCUACCAUUAUUGAGUCAAAUAAGUGAUCUUUAAAUACCAUUAUUUUAUUGUAAAUGAAAUCAAAAGUUGGGAGGGAAAUUGACUUAGAUGUUGUAUCUAAUCAAUAUAUGCACAUUAAGUCAUUUAAACUCUUUUUUUUAUAUGAGUGAAAAAUAUGAAUUUAUUUUCUUCGUCAAAUUAUUUUUUCAAAAAUAACAUAUUUUAUUUACUAUUAUUAUUUUUAGGAAUCAAAUAUAAUUAAAAUCAUAUAUCACAUUGAUUUGUUUUUAUUAUGUAUUUUCGCUUGUGAUCAUAUUAUUAAAAUCAUUUUAAAAAAAAAACAUUUUUGUUAUCAUAUAUACCUCUUUUUACUUGUUCCUUACCACAAUAGUGAGCAAAUUGAAGUUUGAAGGAUAUCAUGUCAGGUAACUAGUAAGGAAAUGAACACUAAUUUUGUCAAGGUUGAAAGAACUUACAUAUUCAAACUUUAGAUGCCUCAUAGUGAGGUUGAAACUAGUCAACGAUGCAGGCUGAAAUACGGUAACCAUUAGUUUUAUGUAGUAGUUAGAGAAUCUUCUACAAUGGAAACCAUCAAUUUGUUGUGGCAGUUCUAGAAUCUGCUAAAAGGGAAACCAUCAAUUUGGUGACAUAGUCUGAGAAUCUUCUGAAAAAUGAAACAAUCGAUUUGGUGAAGGAGUUCAAGACUAUGCUGAAAGGGAAAUCAACAAUUUGAUAAAGUAAUUUGAGAAUCUACUUAAAGGGAAACCAUCAAUUUGGUGAAGCAAUUAGAGAAUCUUCUAAAAGGGAAACCAUUGAUUAGGUAAAGUACAUCGAGAAUCUGCUGAAAUGGAAACCAUCAGUUUGGUUAAGUAGUACAAGAAUAUGCUAAAAGGGAAACAAUCGAUUUCGUGAAGCAUUUGGUGAAUAUUCUGAAAGGGUAAAAAUCUGUUUAGUGAAGAAGUUUGAGAAUCUGUUGAAAAUAAAACAUCAAUUUGGUGAAGCAUUUUGAUAAUCUAUUGAAAUUAUAACCAUUGAUGUGGUGAAGCAGAUCGAUAAUCUACUGAAAGGGAAACCAUCGAUCUAGUGAAGCAUAUCGAGAAUCUGCUAAAAGGGAAACCAUCGGUCUAGUGGUUGAAAGUUUUUUUAAAGUGUUUGAACCCUAAAUUUAUCAUUGUGCUUAUGUUGAACUUUCGACUUCAAUUUGGAGGCCAUUAUUCAGAUUCUCCAUAAAGCUGCCCCAUUUUGGGAAAUAAAGGAUAAGGGGUAGUAAGCCUUCACAUUGAGGUGCUCAUUUAAUUUUCCUUAACCUAGUGUAUGUGCUUGUCGAGAAUUUUCUUAUUUUAUUAUCAUCCUCAAUCACAUUUUCAUAUUUUUGACUUAUAAUCACUUUCCUUUUCCUACAUUGCUCAUAUGGGUUGUCAACCUAGCACACGUUUUUUGUUUUUUGUUCUUUGAUUUUUAAUUUUUACUUAUUUUUAACACCGUCGACUUGGUGGACUCGUUUGAUAGUAAGUAGAAGUCUUAUGUGGGUAAUUUUUGGAGUUCUUCUUGACAGUCAUAACAUAAUAUCAUUCCCUGCUUGGUUAAGAGAUUAUCCUACUUAGUCUUCUUGUAACUUUUCACUAGAAAAAUGGUAACAACCAAAAACAAUGGCCCAAUAUGGAUACAAGGAUUUAUCCUUCUAUUCAAAUCGUCCUAAAAUGCUAAAUUUGGAAGGACUUAGACAAUGAAUCAUCUUAAAAUAUGCCCUAGUUUGAAAGGUUUCCAUGUUUCUUUUACUAUAGAGGUGUUUAUUGUAUGUACAACUCUUUAAGAAGAAAUAUUAAAACAAUGAUCAUGCAAAUUUGACAAGUGUUUAGAUUAGGAGUGGUGAUAUUAUAAAGAUUACAAAAUUUAAUUUGUGUUUAAGUGAUAAGUGGCAAACAUACCUAAAUUUCAUACACUUUUAUGGCACUUAUCUUAAGCAUAAUUAAGAAAAACCAACUUAAAACAAUACUUUUUGUAUAAAAUAUAACAAUCUUGUAUAUUUGUUUUUGUAUUUAUUUUUUAUGUAUUUUGUAGGAUUUAGAAAGAAGAAGAAAAGGAAAAAAGAUUCAUGGUCAAAGAGAAAAAUAAGUCAAAAUCAAGGUGCUCAAGGAGGCAGUUGAGCGUGGACCAAGCCACGCUAAGCUGACCUGGACACCAGCCUGACCUAGACCAAGCUGCUCAAGCAAGCAGCUGAGCGGACCUUCUUGGCCGCUCAGCCUAGCACCAGACUAAUCCUGACACGGUUAUAACUCAAGCUUGGCACAGUCAGACACGAGCCUGGCAUAAGCCCAAGUUGCUCAACAAGCAGCUCAGCGGUGCAACCAAGCAGCUCAGCGGUGAACCAGACUCCUUCCUAAUUCAACAAGCACCAGGCCACGUCCCAAUAAGCACAGUCAAAGCUGCUAAACAAGUAGCUUAGAAGAUUUAAGGAAUAUGUUGGUCUUUGAAUUUGAAUCUGGACUCGAGAGUCGGUUAUGAAAUUAGAAAAAUUAUUGCAUCGACUAAUUUUAUACCAAAAUUUGUUUGAUUAUUUUAUUUAUUGAAAGGGAAAAUAUUUUUAUUUUUUUGUUGUGUCUCACAUGAUAGGAUUUUGCUCCUACGUCUCCCUCUAAGCAAUAGAGAAUCAAGACUACCUAGUUCUUUAAUAGAAAAUAGUUUGUUGGUUGAAUUUAUAUUAUUUCUGAAUAGGAGAAGAUGUUUUAAUUUUAAGAUGGUGUCCAUACUUAAAUGAGUGAAUUUCAACCAUAAUGUAUGAUAUGGCAUAUCAUAUUAAGGAGGUAAAGCUUAAUCAAAAUCCCAUUCUUUUUAAUGUUUAAAGCUUUUUUAGAAAGGUGAUACACAAAAUAAGAGAUUAGCUGCAAAAAAGUUAAACAAUCCCAUUAGGAUUCUCUAGUGUUUCUCUCUAGAACUUGUAUGUUACUCUCUCUUUUUUGGUAUGUUUUGACGUGUUUUCCGGUUUUUCACAUUGUCAAGUACACAAUACCUCUAUUUAUUGGAUGGAUUUGACACAAGUGGAAAACAAAGGGGAAUCACUUUCAUUAAUGCAUUCAGUCAUGCAUUCAGUCAAUUAAAAUAUUUUAUUUUUCUAGAAUCAAAUCUAUAAUUGAUUGACUAAUUUUAUUUAAAAUUUAAUAUUGGGUGUAAGAUUGUUUCUAGGAUAUCUAGAAAUAUUUCUUAAUAAUUUUAUAAACUCAAAGAAUAUUAUUGUGACACUCAUAUUAAUUCGACUUUAAAAUUAAAAGUGUCCAAAAUGUUCUAUUUUGGGUAGAAAUUUCAUAGCAACUUCAAAAGGAAACCACACAUGUUCUUUUAUAAAAUGGGAUCUCUCCAUUAAUAGGUUAAUAAAUUCAUUAAGUCACUUAAAACCCUUUUUUUAUUUUAAAAAGAAAAUUAAAAUUGGUGGGAGAAAUUAAUUUGAAAUAAUAUCCUUGUACCAAAAAAAUUAAAAAUUGUAUCCAAAAAAUCUUGAAUGAGUAUCCUACCAUUGUUGAGUAAAAUAAGUGAUAUUUAAAUACCAUUUUUUUAUUGUAAAGGAAAUCAAAAGUUGGGAGGGAAGUUGACUUAGAUGUUGUAUCUUGUCAAUAUAUGAACAUUAAGUCAUUUAAACCCUUUUUUUUAUAUGAGUGCAAAAUAUGAAUUUAUUUUCUUCAUCAAAUUGUUUUUUCAAAAAUAACAUAUUUUAUUUACUAUUAUUAUUUUUUGGAAUUAAAUAUAAUUAAAAUCAUAUAUCACAUUGAUUUGUUUUUAUUAUGUAUUUUUCACUUUUUAUCAUAUUAUUAAAAUCAUUUUUAAAAAAAAAACAUUUUUGUUGGGAAUUUUGGAUCGGACAAAAUGGAUUGUUCACAUAUACCCCUUUUUACUUGUUGCUUACCACAAUAUCGAGCAAAUUUUAGUUUGAAAGAUAUAAUGUCAGGUAACUAGUAAGGAAAUAAACACUAAUUUUGUCAAGGUUAAAAGAACUUACAUAUUCAAACUUUAGAUGCCUCGUAGUGAGGUUGAAACUAGUCAACAAUGCAGGCUGAAAUACGCUAACCCUUGGUUUUAUGUAGUAGUUCGGGAAUCUUAUGGAAAGGAAACCAUCAAUUUGUUGCGGCAGUUCUAGAAUCUUCUGAAAGGGAAACCAUCAAUUUGGUGACAUAGUCCGAGAAUCUUCUGAAAAUGAAACAAUCGAUUUGGUGAAGGAGUUCGAGACAAUGCUAAAAAGGGAACCACCGAUUUGGUGAAGUAGUUUGAGAAUCUGUUGAAAAUGAACCAUCAAUUUGGUGAAGUAUUUUGAGAAUCUGUUCAAAUUAUAACCAUUGAUUUGGUGAAGCAGAUCGAUAAUCUACUGAAAGGGAAACCAUCGAUCUGGUGAAGCAUAUCGAGAUUUUGCUAAAAGGGAAACCAUUGAUUUUGUGAAGUAGAUCGUGAAUCUGGUGAAAGGGAAACCAUCGAUUUGGUGAAGCAGAUCGAGAAUCUGGUGAAAGGGAAACCAUUGAUUUGGUGAAUUAGUUAUAGAAUCUAUAGAAACGGACACCAUCGAUUUGGUCAAGAUGUUCGAGAAUUAGUUGAAAGGGAAACCAUUGAUUUGGUGAAGUAAAUUGAGAAUUUUCUGAAUGGGAAACCAUCGAUUUGAUGACAUAGUUCAAAAACAUGUUGAAAGGGAAACCACUAAUUUGGAAAAGCAUUUCGAGAAUCUGCUGAAAGGGAAACCAUUUAUAAGGUAAAACAGUUCGAGAAUGACUAGAAAAGGAAAUCAUCAAUUUAGUGAAGCGGUUCAAAAAUCUAGCAAUAGAGAGAGUAUCGAUUUGGUGAAACAAAUUGAGAAUAUGGUGAAAGGGAAACCAGUGGUUUGAUGAAGUAGUUCGAGAAUCUGCUGAAAAGGAAAUCGUUGAUUUGAUGAAUCAGAUCGGGAAUCUAUUGAAAUGUGGCUUACGGACGUCUCAACAUAUGAGUGAGAAUCUGUUGAAAAUGAACCAUCAAUUUGGUGAAGUAUUUUGAUAAUCUAUUGAAAUUAUAACCAUUGAUGUGGUGAAGCAGAUCGAUAAUCUACUGAAAGGGAAACCAUCGAUCUAGUGAAGCAUAUCGAGAAUCUGCUAAAAGGGAAACCAUCGGUCUAGUGGUUGAAAGUUUUUUUAAAGUGUUUGAACCCUAAAUUUAUCAUUGUGCUUAUGUUGAACUUUCGACUUCAACUUGGAGGCCAUUAUUCAGAUUCUCCAUAAAGCUGCCCCAUUUUGAGAAAUUAAGGAUAAGGGUUACACCUUCACAUUGAGGUGCUCAUUUAAUUUUCCUUAACUUUUGUCACGAAUACCUAGUGUAUGUUCUUGUCGAGAAUUUUAUCAUUUUAUUGUCAUCCUCAAUCACAUUUUCAUAUUUUUGACUUAUAAUCACUCUCCUUUUCCUAUGUUGCUCAUAUGGGUUGUCAACCGAGCACACUUUUUCUGUUUUUGUUCUUUGAUUUUUACUUAUUUACUUUUUACUUAUUUUUAACACUAUCGAAUGGGUGGUCUCAUUUGAUAGUAAGUAGAAGUCUUAUGUAGGUCAUUGUUGGAGUUGUUCUUGACAGUCAUAACAUAAUAUCAUUCUCUGCUUGGUUGAGAGAUUAUCCUGCUUGGGCUUCUUGUAACGUUUCACUAGAAAAAUGGGAACAACUCAAGAAAAUCGCCCAACAUGGAUACAAGGAUUUAUCCUUCUAUUUAAAUUUUCCUAGAAUGCUAAAUUUGGAAGGACUUAGACAAUGAAUCAUCUCAAAAUAUUCCCUAGUUUCAAAGGUUUCCAUGUUUCUUUUACUUUAGAGGUUUUUAUUGUAGGCACAACUCUUUAAGAAGAACCAUUAAAACAAUGAUCAUGCAAAUUUGACAAGUGUUUGGAUUAUGAGUGGUGAUAUGAUAAUGAUUAUAAAAUUUAAUGUGUUUAAGCUUUUGUAUAUGUGUUGUUUAAUUUGUGUUUAAGCUUUUGUAUAUGUGUUGUUUAAUUUGUGUUUGGUUGCGAGUGUUGAUAUGUUUAUGAUGAAUAGAAAAUUGAACUUAUGUUUGGGCUUUGAGUUUUGUUGGUGAUGGUGAUGGUGAUUAUGAGAGAAUGGAAUGUUAAUCAUAUGCAUUAAGAUGAGAUUGUUAGAAAUUAAUAAUUUCUAAUUAAGGUGGGCUACAUAUAUUUAAUACAACUAUAUUGGCUAUUUAUUUUGGGAUUACAAAACAAGUGAUCUAAUUACUCACAACCUAUAAGACUUCUGAAACUGAUAACGGAUAUGAGCUUAAUGAGUGGAUACCCAAACGGUUGGCCUAUAUGGGAUAAUGAGAAUCCUAUAAGUUAACGCAUAAGGAAAGGUUAUGAUCCUCAUUACACCAAAUCACAAAUAGUUUUCACCUCUUCCCAUCAGAGAGAAAAUGAUAGUUCCAAAAGGAAUUGAGGAUUUGGUUGAGGAAGGACAUCAUACCAUUACUCUAUGAAACGGUAUAUCAAAAAAGUAGAUCAGAGAACAUGAAUUCGAGUAUGAUCAUGACUUUGUAUCGUAGUUGUAUAUUAUGUGUGAGAAUCAUGAGAUUCAAGAUCAUAGGAUUGAUAUUUCACCAAUCAUCAGGUAAUAUCUAACAAGUGGUAUCAAAUCUUUAGGUUCUGAAUUUUAUGGUUCUCCAUUAAAGAUAUUUUUUCCCCAAUUUUUUAUAAACCCUAAUUUUUUAAAUUUGGGGAUUUUUAUGCUUCUGCUAUUGGUUAUGAGAAAUGUGUAUUUAUGAAUAAUGAGGAUAACUUUUAUCUGCUUCUGCUUAUUUGAAAUAUGGGUAGUUUGUAUUAUGAAUCCUUGCAACAUGUGUUGAAGUAUAUAUUUAGAUUUGUACAUGAAUAUUGCAUUAACUUUUAUUACUCUGUUAUGCAAUAUGUAUAUUGUAUGUGCACUAAUACCUUACUGUUGAAAAUUGACUUUUGUCACUUUAUAAUUUUGCAAUUGGCUGAAGUAUAUCUAUAAGGAAUAUAUGGUUUAAGUUGUGUUUUUCAUUUAUACAUAUACAAUAUUGAAUUCAUGGACUUGUACAUAUAUUGUGAAUUAAAAUAUACAAAUAUAAAUAUGUAAGUGCUUCCAGCUUGAGGUUGUUGUGAUGUUUGGAAUUACUGAUGAAAGGUAAUAUAUAUUUACUAUGUGUAUGUGAAACAGUAUAUAUAUUUUUACAUAUAUAUUUUAAGAUAUGCAUGAUUAUAUUUGAUUUGGAAUUUUUUAUAAUGAUUUGCAUAUAUUUUUUUAGGCUUUUCACUCUAGAUCUACUUUGUAUUUUUAUAAGAUUACAUCCAUUUUCAUGUGUUGAUAUAUAUGUAAUCUAUCUUUUUUUAUUUGGAAUUAUAUUAUUGGAUUAGAUCUGUUAAUCAUAAAAGAUAUCAAAUAUGAAUGUUUUAAUUCCAAGAUCAUAAUUUUUUUAUAGUUGACCUAUAUUGUUUUCCUUUUGUCUGGUAAUUAUUUUUCAAUUAAUUGGUGCAAUAUGUUGUCAAAGUAACCUUUAUUGUGGAAAUUGAUAAAUAAUACAUAGAUGAGUUUGAGGUUAUUUAUGAGAAUUGUGUUUGGUCCAAAGGAAGACACAAUUUGACCAAGUAAUAACAUAUAUAUGAUAAUAAAUAAGUAACAAUUAUAAAUUUUUUUCUUGUGAGUAAUAGUCAGUCCAAAGAAAGGCUAUUGUUUGACAGAACUAAUUGUUAAUAUUUGAUCAUUAAGUUGAGAGUACCACUUACAAAUUAAUUUCUCUAUCCAAAGACUAGAAAUUGAUGUUGUUCUAGGUAUCUUGUGAUGAGCCUAUUAUGUGAACAUGUCUUGUUUUAUAUAUAUUACCUUACUUGUUUGUUUAAAUGGUUGCAACACUUAUAGUUUGUUGCAUUAGUUGGUGGUUGAUUGUAUUAUUAAGGGCUUUCUAUUGUUGAAAUAUUGUUUCCAUUUGGACACAGUGUCGUACCAUGUUUAGUCAUGUAUAAAAUGGUAAUAUAUUUUUAAUGGAAAAUUCAAAAGAACCAUCACUAGAAUUCGAAACGCAGAUCCUUGUGAUCGAAAUGAUGCAAUGCUACCAAUAGACUAUAGUGUAUAUAUGUAUUUAUAUGUGGAUAUAAUUAAUUCAUAUUUUGGAUUAAGUGUUGAAUCAAACUCAACUAAAUGGUUCUUUAUUUUAAAGAAAUGACAUUGUUUGACAUUUUAAGUGAACCUAUUAAAUAAGAAGUCGCCAAAGUGACAUCUUUUCUGUGAAUUGUUCAUAAUAAAUGUCAAAGGCUAGUACGUACUAGUAUCUAUGCGAGUAUUAAUUGACCUAAAGGAAUAUUAUUAUUUGGCCAGAUUAUAUACACACAUGUGACGGUAAACAUGUGAUUAUUAUCAGGUUGCAAAUGUGAAUGAUAAAUUAGUCUAAAGAAUGGUUUAUUAUUUGACAUGAAAAAUAUCAUUAGUGAUUGGUAGAAAAUAUCAAGCCAAUUGUAUGUAUGCAUUUUAUUGUUUGACAAGACUAAUUAUCAAUGUUUGAUUACUACAUUGAGCAUACCACUUAUAAGUUAAUAUUUUUGUCCAAAGACAAAAUUUUAAUGUUGUGCUAGGUAACUCUUGAUAUGCCUCACCAUCAUUUGAAUUUAAGUUUUAAAGUUGAAUGUGAGUUUAAUUGCAAGAACGAUUGCAAUAUAUUUUGUUCUUUUAUUAGUGCUGCAAAUAUUUUUGCUCAAAUUAAGAAUAUCUCAUUGUUAAAUGGGACAAACUUUAAGGUGUAUAAGGAAGCCGUUGAAAUUAUUCUCAGCUGUAUGCAUUUAGAUGUGGCACUUCAAGUGGAGAAAUCCAUUUCUACUAUGUAUAUCCUCGAUGAGGUUAAAAUUGAGAAAUUGGGACACUCUUAUCGAAUGUGUCUAGUGAUCAUGAAACGCUAUAUUCCAGAAACGUUUCAGAACUCUAUUUCUGAGGGUCAAAGUGCAAGGAAGUUCCUUGAAGAAAUAGAACCAUACUUUUCCAAAAAUGAGAAGGCGGAGACAAGUAGCUUUUUUGGCUGAACUCAUCUCCAUGAAGUAUGAAAGCAUAUGAAACAUAAGGGAGUACAUUAUGGAGAUAUCUAAUAUCGCAUCAAAACUCAAGUCACUUAAGUUAGAGCUUGGUGAUGACUUGCUCUUGCACUUGGUUUUGAUCUCGCUUCCUGCACACUUUGGGACAUUCAAAGUGAGCUAUAACACUCAAAAGGACAAUUGGUUUCUCAAUGAGUUUAUAUCUCUUUGUGUCCAAGAGAAAGAGAGGUUGUAGAGAGAUAAGACUGAAAGUGCUCAUUUGUCUAUGACCUCUCAGAAUAAGACAAGAACGAACAAUAAGGAUGUUGUGAAAGGGCUAUUUGUGUUUUUCGUCAGAGAAUGUCUAUUUGUUCUACAUUAGACUUUGCCAGGAAAACCUAACAUAAAAGGUGUUGUUGAGUGACGAAACCAAACUCUUAAGGAUAUGGUGAGAAGUAUGCUUAGUCAUUCUUCCUCACUAGAGUCUCUUUGGAGGGAAAAAGUAGUUAAUAAAUGAAAGUGUGCAUGUCAAGAGGAACACUUUGGAAGGCUCUCCUUGAACGUCAUGGUUUUGAUGAGGACAACGUGUACCUAAAAGUGCUUGAAGAUAACCAACAAUCCAACGUGCUUGAGUCUUUUAUUUGGUACUAGGCUUAGACUAGUUUCUAGUUUAAGUUGAGUCGAAGGCUUAGGGCACCUAAAACAUGUCUCAUAUGCAUUUAUCUUUAAAUCAUUUCAUCCAUGAGAUAUGUUCAUUUGAUAAUAUGUUCAUGCAUUACAUAAAUACAUGUAUAUAUGCAUUCUAGGCAUAAAACUAAGUGUCAAACAUGUAUUAUCUAAGUGCAUAACAUAUUCGAUGUUUUCUAUUUGAAAAUACACAUUUUAUUUAGUGUUAAUCGAUUAACCAUACCUUUAAUCGAUUAACCCAACUGCUGUGAAAAGUGGUUGCCACUGGAACACGUUUUUGUAAUGCAGUUAAUCGAUUAAAGGUUCCCGUUAAUCGAUUAACCUAACUGAUUUUAAAGUGUUAAAUCUGAAAAACUGAAAAACAGAAUCAGUUAUGAUUUUUAGUCCCGUUAAUCGAUUAAGAAGGUAUUUAAUCGAUUAUCUGGGGUUCUGGACUGAUUCUUUAUAAACUGCGUUUUCAGAAUUAAUCUCAUAAGUUGCAUGUUGCAUUUAUUAGAGAGUUAGAGCAUUCUACGUGUUAAUUGCUGCAUCUAUUUGUUAAUUGCAUUAGUGAGUUUAGAAAUGAGAGAUUCCUUGCUUUAGGAUUGAGUGCAUUUCAUGUUAUAAUCUCUCAUGUUUUCCCUCACAUGUUCAUGCAUAUUUUUGAUGCGUUUUUCAUGAAUUUUAUAAUUCUGUAACUUCUGUUUUCAUAACUAAUACUUGUCAUUUCACAUGUGUUUGUGUUAAAUGUGCAUUAGAGUAAAGCCUUCAUGUUGUAUUUGAGCUUAGGUAUAGCUUAAUAUUACUCUUGUAAUUCUUGUGUAAUUGUUGUGAAAGGGAAUCUCUUGGUGUCGUAUCACCAGUAGAGAUUGUGUGUUUCUUCAUAGCUUAGAGUGUAAGAAAAGGAAAGAACGAGAGAUUCUUUGGCUGGGGCUACGCCGAAAGAAACGUUUUCUUUAUCGGUAGGAAGGGAGUCAAACCAUUGGAUAGUUUCUUUGAUUUCUUGUCAUUUGCUAAGUGUUGUAAUUGGAUAAUGUGUUUGUAAAUUACAUUGAUUCGAUUAUAGUGAAGGAAAUCUCCCAAGUCAGCCGGGAGGCCUGGAUGUAGUUUGCAGUGGACAGCAAACGAACCAGGAUAAAAAUUCGAUUUGCAGGAUUUGUUUCUCUCUCUCUCUUUACUGUUUUUCAAUCGAUUUAAUUUGUAUAUUUGAUUCAACUAAUACAUUCUGUUCUUUUGUUGUAUUGCAAGCUAUUCUGAUAUACAAAUUUGUAAGCUCUGUAUUCGUUCUGUUAUCGGUUAUUUGUUUCGCAUUUAAUCGUUUCUGUAAUUGCUUACUGGUUCUGUUUAAUCGAUUAAUAUUCCUGUGUUAAUCGAUUAUACUGUUUCUAUUAAUCGAUUAAAAUAGUUUCUGUUUAAAACUGUUUUACCUAACAAUAAAAACCCAUAUGAGCUUUGGACUGAUAAAAGACCAAGCUUAAAACAUUGCACAUUUGGGGUUUUCCAACUGAGACACGACCUUAUAGACCACAGGAAAGGAAACUGGACUCAAGAAAAAUUAGAUAUUAUUUUGUUGGCUAUGUUAUUUCGCUCCUUUUAAUGAACUUUAAGUUGUGAGGUUGAAUUGCUCUUUGAUAUGUGUCGUCCUCUCUCGAGCUCCAACACGUGCACUCAAUUGAAGCCGCACCAACUCUUGUGGUACGAUUAUCAAUUGAAUCAUUUACUUGGAUCUUUCUAUUCAAUCUCUUCGUAGCAAUCCAAGGUGAAUUCUAGAAAACCCCCGAGAAUCCUAAGACUACUCUCGUGAAUUAGGAUUCUAGAUUAAAUAAUUGAAUGGUCGGAUAGUUGGGUUCACCUCUCGGUCCUUCCCUAAUGUAUCUAAGAGGUAUAAUUUGUUGGCCAGACAACUCACACUAAUAAAACUCAGUUUAAUGAUUCAAAUCACAACAAUCAAUGAAACAGAAGUAAGAACGAGUGUUUAUUGAAUGUAAUAGGGCAUGCCCCAAUCCUAGAAACAAAGGGAAUUACUCACUCAUAAUGGAGAAGAGAAUACCAAAUUCUAAAUUGGAUAAUUAUAAUGUAAAGUAUAAAGUGUAAACUGUGUUUAAUCCUUGAGGGAGAACCCUCAUUUAUCCUAAUUAAAAAAUAUUGGACUAAGCCCAACAAAACAAAUCUAAAAAAUAGGAAUAGAAUAUAACAUUCACUACUUCUUUUGGCCCUUCAAUUGGUCUUUGCAUAGGCUCAACACCGAAUUUCAUCUUCUUGCACCCAAUCUCUACUCUUUUUGGCUUCAUUCCAUCCAAAUUGCACAACAUAGCCAAAAACACCCGCUCAACCCGAACAAAGAGAAAUAAAAGCUAAAAACAAUCUUAAAGUCUUAAUUAUGUCCUAAAAUGUAAGUUAAAUGUAAUGCAAAUGUAACAUAAUUUCACACUCAUCAAAUCUCCUCAAGCUUAUAUGUUUCUUGUCCUCAAGCAAGUAUUAUGUCUAAAUUUUACAAUCAUGCAUGAAUGAUGAUAUAAAAACCAUGACCCAAAAUAAUAAGCAAUCUCAUGUUAGUUUUGAAAUAAUCUAGACAUCAAGACAAGACAAUCAUAUACAAAUAUAAUUCAAGCUAAGUCUUCGAGUCAUAACAACUACAUGAAUUGAGUAACUCUUCUUUCAUCACUCUCAUGUGUUUAAAGGUCAUAGUAUUUCGCUCAAAUUUUCAUGAAAUUAAAUUAUCUUAUGCUUGAUUAUAGAUCAAAUCGCCACUUAAUGUAUUUAAAUGCAUGCAAAAGUGAAGAGGUCUUUAAAUGAUUGUAAUGGGGCCAAGGUGAAUGAUUUAUGGUGAGAUAAACAAGUAAAGGAUACUUCAAAAGGCCUACAAAUGUUUCUCCAAAUACUUAAACUUUUUAGACAUCUGACUGAAGCAUUGAGAUUCUUUUAAUAAGCCUUAAUUUAUCAUAUGAUCCUUUUUCGAUCAACCAUUCUUUUUACAAUAUCAUUUUUGAAUAAUUUCUCCUUUAGUACAUUUUGUAUUAUUAUUUUUUCAUUCUUUUAUUCAUUCUUAUUAUUUUUCUAUAAGAGAAAUUAUGAUUUUUUUUUUCUUUUUCACAAUUAUUUGGUUUCUUUCACUACACAUGACCUUUUUACCUUUCCCAUUGCUUCAACCAAACAUCCCAUAUUAUCCCAAACCCUAAUUUAAGUAGCUAUGAAAAACCAUUAAAUUCCUGGCUCAAAAGUGGGCAACUAAUGGGUUUUAAAUGUUUAUAGCAAGUAGUUGAAGGUCAAAAGAAAAAGUUCCCAUUGCCUCUAUCAUUUUAAUGCAUACAAACAAACUUCAAUCUUGAAACGGGCAUAAAUCAAGUUCUAGAAUGUACAACUUACAAAAUUAUGCACUCAUGAAAGCAAAAAGGGUUUUUAUGCAAUUGUCAAUUUAUAUCAGAACCCUUAUUGUGUUUGACCCAAGUUUCUCACAUUUGGUUCAUUCAGCAAAAGUAAUGAAACAAUGACCUUUAUUUAACCAAAUUUAAUUCUCAAUUGUCAAGUUCUAGAUAUAAAGUUUGUCUAGUUGCUCAAGGCUACACUUAGAAAGAAGACAUUGAUUAUUAAGAAACUUUCACUCCAGUAUCUUCGAAUGAUUCUUUUAGAAUAGUAUUGACACUAGUAGCUCAUUUUGAUUUAGAGGUACAUUAGAUGGAUGUUAAGACUAUGUUUCUAAAUGGUGACAUUAAAGAAACGAUCUAUGUGGUGCAACUAGAAUACUUUGUGACAAUUGGCUCAAAGUUAAUGGUAUGCAAAUUAAAGAAAUCCAUCUCUAGUUUUAAACAAGCUUCUUGUCAAUGGAAUCACAAGUUUCAUCAAGUUAUUACCUCGUACGGUUUUGAGGCACAUAAAGUUGGUAAUUGUGUGUAACACAGACUCAAUGGGAGUAAAUUUAUAUUCCUGGUAUUAUAUGUCGAUAAUAUACUUGUUGAGAGCAGUGAUAUGGGACUAUUGCAUGAGACUAAAAGAUUUCUAAUGAAGAAAUUUGAAAUGAAAGAUCUUGGGGAAGCUUCUUUUGUAUUAAGUAUUCAGAUACUAAGAGAUCCUCUCAAGGUAUCCUGAGGUUGUCAUAAGAAAGAUAUAUAGAUAAAAUCCUAGAUAAAUUUGGCAUUAAAGAAAGUAAACCAUGAAAGAAAGAAAAAUGAUGUUAAGAAUUUUGGACAGGUGCUUAGAAAUGUUUUACACCAUACUUAAUGAGAAAAGAACUUCGUAUUUUUUAUGUCUUCACUACAGUGUAACUAUCCAUUUAUUCAACAUCUCAAUCAUUUCUAAAAAAGGAUGAUAAUAAAUCAACCUUGGCUAGAAUGUAGGAAAGGCUUUCUUACAAUGCUUCUACUGAGAGAAAGGAACUUUCUACUCUUAAUACUCUGUAAUCAUCCUCAUGUUCUGCAACUUGAUUAAGAAAAUGUUUUCUUAUUUAAUCAUCAUUGAUAUUGAUAAAUCAUUUUUAACGGGCGUGAAGAAAAUGUUUUGUUAUGAUACUUUUUUGGUGACCAUAGACCAUCAACCAUCACUUAUUAUCACUAUUCACUUUCCUUGUGAUUCAACUUUCUCUUGGUUUGCUUAUAGAGAUGAAAACGAGCCGAACCGGACUGAACCAGAACUCAGCUUGAUAAGGAUCUACUCAAUUUGAAACUCGACUCAAGUUUGAUACGAGUUAUUUUUUAGCUCGGGUUCGACUCGGUUAAAUUUCGCGAAUUGUUCAACUCAACUCGAAUUGGUUCAUUUAUAUAACUCAAAUAAUAAAUUUAUUUUUAAAAAAUAUAUUGCAUAAGGUUAUAUAUAUAUAUAACCUUUUAUAUAUAUAUAUAUAUAUAACAAAAACAAAUAUAAAAUUUAGUUAUAUAUAUAUAUCGAACUAGCUCAUGAACCUAACGAGUCUUAAUAUUUAUAUGAUAUAAAUCAGAUAAAAUAAAAAAUAAUAUAUAUAAUGAUACAUAUACUUAAGUGGGACAAAGUGAGGAGUAAGCUUUACACUAACAUCUUAAGGGUACAUAGAAUUUUAAUUUAUUGAUCAACUACUAAAUUAUAGUUGUGAUGAUAAGUUAUAUACUAAUUUUUUUUAUAAAUUUACCUCAAACUUAUUGAAACUUGAGAUGUAUGUUUACAUUUAGAGAUGUAUAGUUAUUAAUACAGUAUCUGUCCUCAAAUUGGUCACCGUACUAGUACAAUGGUAUAGUGGUUUAACCGAUGGUUCAUUAAUUAACUUAUGACAGUUAAACCGGACAUACAUGCUUAUGUAUAUAACCUUUAAUAUAAAAAUCAACUAGGUAGAUAACAAAAUUUAUAAUUCAUAUUUAUAGUGUACUAAGAAUUCCCAUAGAUAAAUAAUUUUAACAAAUCCAAAGUCUAACCCAUCUUCCAUUGAUGCAAAUAGAAGCCCAAAAGGGCAAAACUAGCAAAUCAACUAAUUGAACAAAUAGAAGAAUCAAGUAAGUAAGAAGCAAGAGAGAUAAGGUGAGAGAUGAAAUGAACACACCCCUUAGUGGAAAAUAGUGUCAACUCUACAAGGAAUAGGCAGGAACGAAGAUGAUACGUUGGUGGAAGCCUGGAACUAUAGAAGAAUUGAAGAAGGAUUGAAGAAGUGUGAAUACUGGAUAGAGAAGAAUCGAAUAAGGGUAGAAGAAUUGUGAACGGUGUAGCCUAUAAAUUUUGAAAAUCCCACUUCCGUAAAACGACGUAGUUUAGGGGUGUAUUUUUAGUUAUAUAAACCGGCUGGUUUAGUCAAAUUUUAACUUGUUCACCAGUUUUGACUAAAUCUGAUCAGUUUUCAACGAUUUUGAUACUUGGUUAGAACAACAACCAUGUCGUACUAGUUAGAGGUCUGGUUCAUUGGUUUACAGGUUGAACCGGCCAGUAUGAAAUAGUUUUUACAUCAUGGUGUGUUAAUGAGAUGGUAAAUAAGUAUUUUAACAAACAAAAAUGAAAAUUAUAAAAGGUAAAUAAUUAAGUUAAUUUAUUUGUUAGGCGUGUGUUCCAUUGAAAUAAUAAAUUCACUAAAAAAUAUUCAGUUUGGAUUAAAAUUCGAAAUCGUUAAGGUGAGUUAAUAGGUGAAUGAGAAUUUGCAUUUAUAGUUACUAUCAAAAUAAAUGAAAUAAAAGCUAAAGCUGAGAUUAAGAAAGAUAGACGAAAUAGUGAACGAAUUAAACUAGAAUUUAUUACUUUUUUUUUUUAUUUUGUAUCAAGUUCUAGAUAUUGUUUGCUAAUAUUCUGUCUAUAUUUCUAUAACUAUAUUAAUCUCGUUUUAGUACUAACUUAAGUGAAGAAAAAAAUGAAGUGAGAGAAAAUUUGAGAUUAUUCAUAAAUGUUAGGGUUGCAAUUUGUUCACCAAGUGAGAAUCAUUAAAUAUAUAAUUUUGUUCAAUUUUAAGAUUUGUCGAUGAUGGUUGUUAAAGCCUAGGUUAUUUUUUAGAAGAAUUUCUAUUGCCUAAAUGUUGGGGUGUAAUCAUUUUGAGGCUGAAAUAGACAAAUGGAAAGUUAUAUUACUAUAUAAUAUGAUAUGGGCAAGUCUUAUUUUCCAUGUUUUUCAAAGUUAUCAUCGAAAAGAUUAUAAGGGUAUCGAUACCUAUUGUACUAUAUUGAUGAUGCUUUUUUUACUUGGACUAUUCUCGCAAAAUAAACAUUAUCUGGUAUACUUCUUAUUCUGAUUUAUAAAUGUAUAAUAAUGAUGGUAAUCUUCUGGACAGACUCUACUGAUGGUACUCUCUCUCUCAAGGAUGCCUACAAGAGCAUCAUGCCUUCUACUGAUUCAAGGCAUUGGUGCAAGCUCAUUUGGUCUAGCUCCAUUCCUCCCUCAAAAUACUUCACCCUUUGGAGGCUUAUAAACAACAGAAUGCCCUCAGAUGAGAACUUACAAGCUAGAGGCUGCAUUUUAGCUUCUAAAUGCAAUCUUUGUCAUGUCCAAGUCGAAUCAUCUCAGCACCUAUUUCUCUCAUGUUCCUUUGCUACUGCAAUCUGGGAUUGGUUGAAUCAUCAAUUCCAAAUCACAAUUGACACAUCUUCUGCUGCUAAUCUUCUCCUUGCUGCCAAAGGAAGUGCUCAAGUGCAAUUCCUCAUCACUGCUGCAGUGGUGCUUGCUGUUAACACAAUUUGGCACUGCAGAAAUUUGAGCAGGUUUCAGGACAAAAAAUUACUUCUGCCUCAAGCUAUCAACAGAAUCAAGAGCUCCCUCACUCUGGCUGGUAAUUCUUCCUCGGCAAUAGCAAGCUCCUCUCUGCUUGAUUCCUCAAUCAUCAGGUCUCUAAAAGUGCAGGUCAACUAUAGGAAAUCUCCUAGAAUCUUGGAAGUCAAUUGGAAGUUGCCUCCCUUUGGCAGGGUAAAAAUCAAUACGGAUGGAGCUGCUAGAGGUCAUCCAGGGCAUGCUGGAGGGGGAGGAAUUUUCAGGGAUCAUGAUGGUUUGUUCAUGGGUGUUUUCUCUACCUAUUUUGGCAUACAUGAUGCUCUCUAUGCUGAGCUUUCUUCAGCCUUUUUAGCAAUUCAAAAGGCUCACAGCAUGGGAUGGCACACAAUUUGGUUAGAAUGUGACUCAUUGUUGGUCACAAAAAUUUUCCUAGGUACUAUGGUUAUCCCUUGGAAGUUAAUGUCAACUUGGAGGUCAUGUAAGAUCCUCAUGUCUUCAAUGGAUUGUUGGAUAACACACAUCUAUAGGGAGGGAAACCAAUGUGCUGAUUCAUUGGCAAACUUCGGCAUUGAUCAAAAUUGCUACACUUGGUGGACUCAUCCACCUUCUUUAGUGCUUCCUUAUUUGUAUAGGAAUAGUAUUCAAUUACCUUCCUAUAGGUUUGUAAACUAAUCUUGUAUGUUUUCAGCUUAUUAAUAUAUUAUGGGCUAAGCCCCUUGCUUAAAAAAAAUUAAUGAUAUUUUGAUCUCUUCCAUCACAUAUUUCAUUAAACAAUUCAUAUCAACAUAAUUAUUUCUUAACUUCUAUUGCCUAAUAUUUCUUUUACCAUUGUAAUCUAGUGUUAAUGUUUUAUAACUUAUCAAAUUUAUUUGAUAAAUGCAUAAAAACAUUUCAAUUCAAAAAAUAAAAUAAAAUUAAAUAAAGCAUUUGGAUUCUAAUAUGGGAUAUUAACUAUGAUACUUCGAAACAAGAAACUAAAAAAGCUCAAGGACUUAUGAUCUGAGUUGUUGUCUUGGAUUCAUUUUGAGAAUUAAAUUAAUUUAGUUAAGAAAUGUGUGAAACUCUAAUUCUUUUAAGCGAGAAGUAAAUGCAAUAUGAAUGAAGUCAAUAAGUAUAUAUAUAUAAUUAUAUUAGUUAAAUUUAAUAAGAACAUAUAGAUUGAUGAAGGUAGAUCUUUUAUUAAUAAUAGUACAUAGGUAAAACUCUAGUGUUAUUAUUAUCUUGUGGAUCACUAUGAGCUCUUACAUGAUAGUAGAUAUCAGCUUAGUAAAGUGUGCUCUAAAUAGAAGAGAUGAGACCCCUUCUUCCAUGGCUUCCCUCCUUCUCCUUUUGUUGUUGCUGCUGAGGUUGAGCAUUUGCAAAGUAAGAUUGUUGUUGGUUCUUGAUUAAUCUCUCAAUGUCUUCAGCAGAACCAGGGAAUGUAAGCUCCUUCACUUCUCUAUCUAACUGCCUUAUCACAUUCUCUUUAGAACCUUUCAAUUUUCAAUGAUUUCCAAACAUAACAGUAUGAGUUAGUAACGCCAAAACCAAAGUCAUAAAGCAAAUAUUAUUUUUUACAAUUAGGUAUUUGUGCCAAAAGUUGGCUUUGUUGCCACAUUGGCUAUGUCCAAGACAUAGUUGGUGAUUUGGCGAUCAAUUUUAUAAUCGUGUAUCUACCUUUUAAACUACCUCUUAAGGUUAAAGUGAAAUAUAUUUAAUUACAAUGUUUGAAAUUGAAUAAUGUUUAUGGUACCUACAAGGAAAUUCCUCUGGUUUUCAUAAGCAUUGAUGCCAAAUCCAAGCAAGCGAAUAUUUGAGGAAGUGCUGAUGGAAAUUGGAUGACUUGUCGGAAUUACGAAAAUGUCACCUUCUGUUAAUUUACCAUUGUACCUUCUCACUUCUUGCUCAUCUUGUUGUUGUUGUUGAUCUCUUAUACCCACCAGUUCAUAAUUUCCUUCUCCUUCAUCAACCACGACUACAAAUAUGGCCUUUGAGUUAUACAUAGUGUGGCUAAAAAAAAGCUCCCUAAAAUAUAAAAAAUGAAAUCAUUAGUAUUAGUAUUGUUGUCUAAGACGCAACACUAGUGAAUAAGUAGAAGGAAUUAUGUGUAUAGUUAUUUAGGAUGUGAUAUAUGUAAUUUACCUCGUUAAUGUCUAUGAAGGUGAGAGAGAUAUCCAAAUACUGAGCUUGAGGGUUUCUGUCUGGGGUGAUCUCGUAGAAGUUGCCAAACUUGUUUGAAUAAAUGGGUUCAUUGCUUCUCAAGUUGAAGGGGCCAGAUUUAGAUGGUUUGCCUUUUCCUGAUAAUGAUUGAGCAUGUUUUCUCAAUUCUUGGAUUUGUUCCUUUGACACUCUCACUAUCACCCCCUCUUCUUGGUGGCUCUGCUCCUGUCCAUGGCUUUGUUCCUCAUCUUCGUGCUCAUCCUUAUUUCCUAAAAGAAUCCUUUGUAUCUCUUUAUAACGGCUCUAUAUUUGAAAUCCAAACAAACAAAUAUGUGAU
rnacentral:lncRNA from 1 species